rnacentral:lncRNA from 1 species
AACUGAAAAAGUUUCAAUUUCUGAAGAUGCAAUACAAACUCUUUUGAUUUAUCACAGUUACAAGAAGGAGUUGGAACUAAUGCCUCAAACUCUUUCGAUAAUCCCUUCAAUUUAGAGAAAUACACAGACACAGAAUCAGUUCCCUAAGUAAGAGUGGCAAUUUCUUUAUGUAGGUUGAAAGUUCUUAUGCUAUCCACCUUAUUAAAAUGCUCAAACAAAUCUUCCCAAACUUCUUGGGCACUUGACGCAUACAUGAUACCUCCAAGAAGACCUUUUCCAACAGAAUUCAUAACCCAAUACAAAAAAAUAGCAUUCACCCCCUCCCAAUGAUUUUCCAGCCCAGGAAAUUUAUCUUUUGUACAAUAACCAUCAACCAUUCCUAAUUUAUUACGACCUAAUAAUGCAAUUCUCAUAGAUCAAAACCACAAAGAAUAAUUCUCAGCCCCAGUUAAUUGAAAAGAUAUAAUUGGCAUACCACUCACAUCUGAUGCACUGAGAAAUAGAGGAUGAUUGUAAUCGAUGCCAUUAGAGGGAAUAGAAGGAGCAGUUGAAGCAGAUUCUGGAUUGCCAUUAGUCGCCAUUUUUGAUUCUCUACAAGCUCAAGAUCUAAUCACUUGCUAUAGCAGAAAGCAGAAGUUUAAGAGAAAUUAUGAUCCAAGACAGAAAAGGAAAAUUCAGUAGACUAGGAUUACCAGUCUCGUGGCUUUGAUACCAUGAAGUAAACUAACUUUACAGAGAAGAAGAACCCUGAUUCAGGGUGAUGACAUGAGAAAGAAGAAGAGAGGAGAAGAAGUUUCAUUCAUUGAGUGAAAAAAUGAGAAGAAUUAGUUAAUCUGUACGGUGAGUAGUAGUAGUUUAUAUAGUUAGUAACUAACUAUCUUCUAACAACUUCCUAACUAACUAAUGGGUUGUUUACUUAAUCAAUUCAACUACUUGGACUAACAGUAAAAAAUAACUGCUAAGUAACUGCAUUCUCCUUUUCUUUAACAUGUUUUCUCUCAAAAAAGGAGAAAUAGUUUAGAAGCCCCCCUUUAAAAAAAAAAAAAGUUUGGUUUAUGUCUUUUACAUAUAAAAGAUUUUUAUUUGUAAAUAUAUGAUAUAUGAAAAUAUCACUUUUUUUUUUUGAAUUUAUAAGAAAAAUAAUUAACCGACAACAUAAAGUUCACCCCAAGAUUCAAUUUAGUUUCAAUUUCCAACAGUGUCCAAUAACGGUUCAUUUCCUCCAAAGUUGUAGUGGUAACAAUUAAACUACUACCUCUACUUUAAUUUAUUUGAUACAUUUUUGUUUUAAGUCAGUUUAAAAAAAUGACAUAUUUUUAUAUUGAUAACAAAUUAACUUUAAAAUACUCAUUUUUAUUUAAUAAAAUGAUUUAUAAUUACAUAAAUAUAUAUAAAUUUAUAUAGAGCAUUAUAAUUUUUUGUAAAAAAAAAUUCUUAAACAACAUGUAAAAUCAAGAAUCAUUUAAAUUGAAAAGAGGAAGUAUGUAACAACCAAUUAAUCGUCCAUUUAGUAGCAACAUAAAAAAUAAUCUCACGUUCCUCCUCAUUUUUCCUGUCAUAAUAAAUUUUGUAAGACUUUGUUAUGAUUCUACGUACCUUUUUGAGAAACUAUUCAUUAUGAGAUUUGGACUUCUAUAAUUCCUGAGCAAUCAAUUUAAAUAGUUGAAACCUUACACCUUUAUCCAAAGUUUUCUUUGCAUCUACAAAUAUUUAGUUAUUAUGAAUUAUGAAUAUAAGGUAGUUCAAAACUAUCCUGUGAGUAUCUGAUUUUUUGGUUGACAUUUUAGCUUCUUCUCGAGCAAAAGUUUCAAUAAAUUUGACCAAAUUUUGAGAUUUAAUCUUCAAAUUCAUUCAUAAGGUUUUAAGAAAUUUUUGAGUAAAUUGUAUGUCCAAACCAGGGGUUGGCUCAAGGGUAAGGUUAGUAAAACAUUUACUUUAGGCCCCAAAAUUUUGAGGCCUCGAAAAUUAUAAUAGUAAUUUUAUGAUUUUAACUUCACUUGAAAUGAUAAUGAAGAUUUUGAAAUGUGUUUAAAAAACUAUUCAAAAGAAAAAAGAAAUAGAGAAAGAAAAAGUUAUUUAAUUGUUACUAGGAAUAAUUUAGAAUUUUAAAUUAAGCAAUUCAAACUUUAUAUUAAUAAAUAAAAUUUUAAUAACAUUCCAUUUAAUGUAUUGAAAACAAAUGAGUAGCAUCUUAUUAAUUAGAAUUAAAUCUUACUUUUAUUAAUAAUCAUUUUAAUAUGUGAAGUUAAAGGUUAUGUGAUGGUUUAAAAAUAUACAUAAAAAAUGACUGAAAUGCUAGGAAAAAAAAAAAAAAGACAACUCUAAAUUAUUACAAUAUUUCUUUUUGUCUGUAAAUAUAUAUAUAUUUACGAUGUCUUAUUAAAAUUUAGCUUUAAACCACUAAUUUUAUUGAGACACAUCUCUAAAAUAUAGCUAUUCAAACACAUCUUCAAAUUCCAAAAAUCACAAUAUUAUAAUCUCAAAAAUCACAAUAUUAUAAACUCAAAUAUAAUUCCAUGUUGACAAUUUGAAAUUCUCAAAAAUACAAAAAUAUUAUUUUUCAAUUUAUAGUCUUCACCAAGUUGUAAUUAUUAUAUUUGAUCACUUUAGUUCAUAGAAUAUUUAAUCACUUUAGUCUUGUGAUAUUUCAAAGCAAUUCUUUCUUCAACGAGGAAAAGAUAAGACUUGAAUAUUUUUUGCUUUCUCACAAUUUUAUUUAUUAAAUUACAUUGAAUAUAUUAUUAAUAAAUCAUCCUUGUAUCUUUUGAUAUUUGCUAACGAUGAAUUUUAAUGUUGAAAUUUGCUAACGAUGAAUUUUAAGGUAGAAAUAUAGCGUGUAUGGAUAUCAAAUUCUCAGAGAUAUUUUUGUCAUUUUCUCGCCAAUAAUGCUUCCCCUUUUCUGUGAACUUUAGAGAUUAACUAAUAUACACCUCAAGUGAAAUGACUAUUUUAUACUGUUAAAAUUUUUAAUACUUAUACUAAAUAAGACUCAAUUAUUUUAUUUUUUAAUAUUUAAACAUAAUAAGAAAAUAAUAAUAUAAAAUAAUUUGGACUAUAAUUAUUUUCUAUCAAAAAUAGGAAAAAUCUCCUUUCUUUGGAUCCAAUUGCUUCUAAAAAUUUGCUUUGAUAAAUUAGAAAUUCCUAUUUUGUCGAUAUUGUUCUGCAAAUAUCAUUACUGAAUACUAGAUUAAUAAAAAAGUUAACUCAAAAGUUUAAAUAUUAUUCAAUAGUACUAAUGCAUGGAAAUUGUCCAACUUAUUGAAAUUAGAAUUCUAAAAUUAUUCUAUAAAGAGUUAUCAUUGUCACAAUUGUUCACUAAACAAAAACAUAAAUAAAUCGAAUGAACUAACUAAUGAGGGAAACACUCUUCAAUUGGUAUUUGGAGGCACUUAUCUAGACAUUAUUUACCCUGAUAUAAUUUUGUCAAAUUAAAUCAAAUUUAAUCUACACAUCUCUAAAAUCGAGAACAAAUAAAUAUGUUUAUGAUUUUCCCGAGUUUUUUUGUAUAUGCUGAUAAUUCAUAAUUUUCUGGUGUUAAAUAAAUAAUAACGUUGUAAAAUAAAUAGCCAGGGAAAGAAUGAUACGAUAAAAUAGUGAAUUAUUCCUAUUUUAAGUAAAAAAUAAUUAAAGUCCAAAUUAGCUUAUACUAUUAUUUUUUAAUUUAUAUUUAAAUAUUUAAAAAUAAAUAAUUAGAACCUUACCUAUUAUAAGUCUUAAAAUUUUUAGUUAAACUUACCUAUUAUAACUGAGAAUGUAUAUUAGUUAAACUUUAAUUUAUUAAUUUCUUAAUUUAUAAGCAUUUAAUUCCAGUUAAAAAAAAUUAUAUUUUUUUCAAUCUUAUCCAAAUACGCUGCAAGACGUCUUUUAACUUUGAUAAAAAUUCUAUGGAUUUAGACGCACAACUUUGAACCCUAAUAUCUCAUCUAAAAAUUCUGCAGAUACGGCGUAUGCUAACAAUUUCUUCCUUUCAACAUGCUUAUUGUUGAAUUUGGGAUAGAAAAAUUAGUUCAUUACUUUUUGUGUUUUCUUUUCAUGCAAUGUAUAUAAUUUUUGUUCCUGUUGUUACGAGCAGUGAUUCUGCUAUUGCUUAAAAUGGGAGGAAUUAUUUCUCAUUGGAUGAAUUGUCACGAGAAAAGAUCAACAAUUAAAGUCAAGAAAGCUACUUUAGCAGAGGUAUGUACAAAAUCUGAUUUUGAUGGUGUCUUAAAAAAAACAACUUGGCAAUAUUAAUAAACAGUUUAUAGUUAUUUAGGAUUUUUUUCGUCUGAAUUUUGAGUAUUUUACCUGCUUAUGAAGGAAAUUAGGACAAAGUUUUAGCAUAGUUAUGUGCAAAAUCUGAUUUUUGAUGGUUUUAAUGUUGUCUUACAAAAGCAAACAAGAUAUGAUUGGUUAUCUACAUAUAUAUAUAUAUAUAUAUACAUAUAUAUAUAUAUAUACUAGAUAAAUUUUAGCAGUCGUAGGGAUUGCUUGAGGGAUCAGUUCUUGAGGUUGCGGUUUUGUAUUGGCAAAAAAUUUAGGAGGGGACUAGGGUCUUUAUGCCAAAAAGACUCUUUAUUCAAACUAUUUUGUCCAAUACCCACAAGUUUUAAAUCCUUUUUCAAAUACCUACUUAAUUCCACCUCAUCACCAAUCUUUCCAACAUAACAAUUUCAGCUCCAACCUUUAUAAUAAUUCACUUUAACCCAAUACUUCCAACUUAAUAAAUUCACCCACAAGUUUCUAAUAAUACACUUCAACCCACUCCAUCAUCCACCACUAUAUAUAUAAAAAUAAUAUCUAGGUUUUCAAAAAUAUUAAAAAAAAAUAAUUCCGAAAGCUAAAAAUAGAAAGUGGUUAUUUUUCUCACGAAAAAACUCCGAUUCCGGCCACUUUUCCGGCAUUAUUUUUCGGCGAUCGGCUGUAAAUUAGUCCACAAACAUCAUAAGCUUGUCCAUUGCAUCCAUUGUUAUCCCAUUUGUUUCCUAUCUUCUCAAAUACACUAUCCACCAUUGUUAAAAAGCUUUAAAUCACUCACAUUACUCAAAACCACUUUAGAAAAUGUAUUACAGCAGCUCAGGCGACUCCAAGUUCAUUUCUUUAUUCCAUAAACCCAACAAUCAUUGAUUACAAGCAAUAUUUGCAAUUUCAAGUAUUUGUACUGAAAUCUGCGCAGUCAUCGAUCCGUCCUCAUCAGACAUCGAUCGUGCAUACAACACGACAUAGACUAUAAGCAUAAUCUACCAUCGACCAAAGCUUAAUUCUAGGAUGUCUAUUGCAGAAUUUGUUCUGAUUUCUGGUGAUUUCAUGGGAGAAUGGGUGGAGACUUCGAAAUGUUGGAAAUGAAGAUCAUUUACCAAGGUGACAAUUCCCAUUCCUAUUUACGCAACAGUUCGUAUGACGAAUUUGUUGCAAGCGUAAUGCAAAGCGGGGAUCUAGAUUGCGCGCCGAGCGACGUGGUGAUUAGUUAUGUAAUGCAUUCGAGGGAAAAAGUGAAUCCUACAAUCAUAAAUAGUGAUGUACGUGUGCUGACGUACAUAAUGGAUGCUGAUGCAGAUGGCUUUAGGCCAAUUUUGAGGAUAAAUGUGGUUGACAGGUCCCUUUAAAGGACCAUUGAAUUCAUCAGCACCCCCACCGCGGCGCCCGGCAGUCGACGAUGAUUUGAUCGACGACGAUUUGAAUGAUUACGAGAACGAUGUCGAUGAUAUACUUAAUAUGAAAGAUUAUUCUAUGCAUAUGGAAGACUUUUCAUCGGACUCGCAAGAUGAUGAAGAAGACCGUGAAACGGAAUCACAAGCAGGAAACUCCUUCACCGACGGAACCAAUUUCUGUUGUGGUCAAACAUUCACUGAUAAAAAAGAGCUGAAAAUGCAACUAGACGCAGCAGCGGCGAGGUAUUCUUUUGAUUAUUAUAUGGAGAAGAGCUGGACGAAAUUGAUGAAGGCACAAUGCUUAUCUCGUGGUUGUGGUUGGCUGUUGCGGGCAAAAAAGUAUGACACCUCGAACAGAUUUCGCAUAUACAAGUAUGUCGGGAUACACACGUACGGCGUUGAAAAUGGCAGCCGCAGGCACCAAAAAGUCUCAUCCGAAUUGAUUUCUUCAGUAUGCGUAAAUCAUUUUUGGGAUGGCAAGGGUCCAAGCAUAAGAGAAAUUCAAAGAAUUGUAUUUAAGGAGUUGCGUUGCAACGCAAGCUAUUAGAUGUGUUGGAAAGGAAGUGUAAUUGUGAAGAACAUCAUUCGCUGGACACCGGAGCACGGAUAUGCUUGCUUGCCGGCUUUUUCUCACAUGGUGGAGUUAUUGAAUCCCGGGUCUUCUUACUCUAUCAUGGUAAAUCGGAUGGAUGGAUCGUUUGUUUACUUCUUCUUAGCAUUCGGAGCUUGCAUACGAGGAUAUGCCCACAUGAGAAAGGUAAUUGCCAUCGAUGGCACACAUUUGUAUGGCAAGUAAGGGGGCGUUCUGCUGAGCGCAAUUGCACAGGACACCGAAAAUCAUAUAUUUUCGAUUGUCUUUUGUGUCGUCGAUAAAGAGAACGAUGCUUCUUGGACCUUCUUCUUCCAGAAGCUGAAGUCUAUAAUAGAAGAUGAACAAGAUCUAUGCGUCAUCUCCGACAGGCACAUUAGCAUCGCCAAUGCCUUCUUCCAUGUAUACAGUCAUGCACAUCACGAACUUUGCAUGAGACACCUCGCUGAAAAUCUUCGUGUAAAUCAAUACUGCGGAGAACAUCUUUAUCUAUUCUAAGCUGCGGCAAAGGCUUAUUCCUUUGAUGAGUUUAGCGAUAAUUUUGUGGAAUUGAAGAGUAAAUACCCCGAAGUAGCUCAUGUCCUUGAAAAUGUGCUUGGUUUUGAAAAAUAGAGUAGAGCACACUUUUUGGGCAAUAGGUACGACGUGAUGACCACAAACAUCUCCGAGUCGCUCAACUCGAUUUUGAUGGAUGAACGGGAGUACCCCGUGUUGUACAUAUUCAAUUCAAUUGCUAAAAAAUUUGGUGAAAAGUUUAGGGAGCGGCAUGGAUUUGUCGGUGGUAAAGAGAACAUAUUUGUGCCUUCUGCGGAAAGGAUCCCAAGGGAUAAUAAGAGUGCGAGCGAUUCCUUGUAUGUGGGUAAUCCAAAUGGGGUUCUCGACGAGUAUACGAUGUUCGGCAACGGCGUUACUGCCAAGGUCAAUCUUUCGGAGAUGAGCUGUUCUUGUCAGAAAUUUGACUUGGUGAAAAUGCCAUGCGAACACGCGAUGACAGCUUUGCGAGCAAAGUACGGUGAUGACAAAGAUUAUGGUAACUCCAUCUACGACUACUCUUCGCCAAUUUAUACAGCUGAAAGUUACCUCCUUGCAUACUCGAAAGCAAUUAACGUGGUCCAUCUGGAGGCUGAAUGGACUGUGCCAUAGGAAUUGGUAGACACCAAAAUUUCUCCACCCCCGUACGAUCCCAAACUCAGAAGGAAUAAAGUCAAACGUACUAAGGGCAUCGGUGAGACAUUCAAGUCCAAAAGGAGGAAUAGGUGUUCACUAUGCAAGAAAUCCAAACACAAAAGAAUCACGUGUAGAAUGGGCAUCAAAUCAUAAAUAGGUUUUUUUUACCUUCAGUUGUAAAGCUACUGUUUUGGGGGAUGAAUGUGCAUUUCUGUAGAUUUUAACGUUCAGUUAUUAUCAACCUAAAGCUUUGUCUACGAUAGACUACCUAUAGUCUACGGUAUAUAUAAUAUAUGAUCUAUAAAAUAUUAUGUAUUGAUUAUAUUAUUGCUGAUCUAACACGUUAUGUUGGUCAUUUUCCCAUCUUAUCUCUCCAAUCGAUGCAAUGAAUUAUUAUUUCCCUUGUUUUCCGUUCCCAUUUAUUAAAAAGCUGCACAAAACGUCUCUUCACAAGGAAAAACAGCUGGUAUACGCAUACAACCUAUCAUUGGGUGGAUAUAUGAACGGACGCAAUCUACAGGUCUAUAAGUUCAGGCCCUCUUUCUACUCAACCCUUCAGUUUUCCCUAAAUCAAAAAUAUCAGAAAUCGUCUCUUCUUCUUCUUCUUCUUCACCCAAAUUAAAAAAAUGCCUCCAAGAAGGAUACCCUUGCGCCCCAUCAGAUGUAUUCCUCCGAGGCACUACGACCUCCUCCUCCUAAGGAAUGAUUUGGACCGACUUUUCUACGGGCUGGGUCAAGACCGCAUCAACCUAGAGUGGGAGCUCCGUCGAAUUGCUCGUUUCUUGAGGGCAAUUCUGAAAAGGCUCGGAAUGGAAGGCCCUGACUACAUCACCUCCCCAUCAUCCCCAUAAUUUAGUUUAAAUGUUUUAUUUUAGUAUAUGUUUUUAAGUUUUUUUGAUUUGUUCAUUGCUGAAGAAGCUUUCUUUGUAGGAUUUUGUUAGAAGAAAGCUUCUUCCGUUUUCCUCUUUUUGAUGUAAAUUUUAUUAUGUAAUGCAAUGAACAAUUUUAAUACAACUAUGCUUCAGUUUCUUUUAACAUUGUGUGUUUGCCAUCUUUGUUCUGAUCCCUUGUUUGAAAACUCGAAUUAAAUAUGUUUGCCUUUUCAAGUUACAGUAUUGUGGCUUGACUAAUUUCCUGAAGAGUAAAAUCUAAUGUUUANNNNNNNNNNNNNNNNNNNNNNNNNNNNNNNNNNNNNNNNNNNNNNNNNNNNNNNNNNNNNNNNNNNNNNNNNNNNNNNNNNNNNNNNNNNNNNNNNNNNNNNNNNNNNNNNNNNNNNNNNNNNNNNNNNNNNNNNNNNNNNNNNNNNNNNNNNNNNNNNNNNNNNNNNNNNNNNNNNNNNNNNNNNNNNNNNNNNNNNNNNNNNNNNNNNNNNNNNNNNNNNNNNNNNNNNNNNNNNNNNNNNNNNNNNNNNNNNNNNNNNNNNNNNNNNNNNNNNNNNNNNNNNNNNNNNNNNNNNNNNNNNNNNNNNNNNNNNNNNNNNNNNNNNNNNNNNNNNNNNNNNNNNNNNNNNNNNNNNNNNNNNNNNNNNNNNNNNNNNNNNNNNNNNNNNNNNNNNNNNNNNNNNNNNNNNNNNNNNNNNNNNNNNNNNNNNNNNNNNNNNNNNNNNNNNNNNNNNNNNNNNNNNNNNNNNNNNNNNNNNNNNNNNNNNNNNNNNNNNNNNNNNNNNNNNNNNNNNNNNNNNNNNNNNNNNNNNNNNNNNNNNNNNNNNNNNNNNNNNNNNNNNNNNNNNNNNNNNNNNNNNNNNNNNNNNNNNNNNNNNNNNNNNNNNNNNNNNNNNNNNNNNNNNNNNNNNNNNNNNNNNNNNNNNNNNNNNNNNNNNNNNNNNNNNNNNNNNNNNNNNNNNNNNNNNNNNNNNNNNNNNNNNNNNNNNNNNNNNNNNNNNNNNNNNNNNNNNNNNNNNNNNNNNNNNNNNNNNNNNNNNNNNNNNNNNNNNNNNNNNNNNNNNNNNNNNNNNNNNNNNNNNNNNNGCUCUAAUAUGAUUAUGUGACUUGUUUACACUCCUUCACAUGUGUAGAAAUCUACACCAUAUUUAUUUAUAAUUUAUUUAAUCAUUUUUUAACUACAUCCAAGUGAUGGUCUAUAACCUUGUACAUAGAUCAUCGUGGUCUACGCCUAAUCAUGAUAUCAGUCGAUGCGAUAAUAAAUGUGUAACUCUACGAUAGACUAUACUGAUCGAUGGAUAGCAAAGUUCAUGAUCUACGACGGUCUAUUAAGUGUCAUCACCAGUCCAAGAUCAUCUAUUUAAAUAGUUUUUAAUGUAAUUGUUUUCUUCCACCGGCCCCAAAACAUAUGAUUAUCCAUUUAAAUCAUAUUAUAUUUAAUUAUUUUCUUCCACCAACCCCAAAACAUGUUACUAUUAUCUAUUUAAUUUAAUUAUUCAUUUUUAAUUACCUCCACGUGAUGGUCUAUAGAUGUGUACAUAGAUCACGUUAGUCUAUGCAUAAUCAGGAUAUCAGUCGAUGCACUAAUAAAGGUGUAAGUCUAUGGUAAACCAUACAAAUCUAUGGCUGACAUAGGUCAUGAUCUAAGACAGUCUAUUUAGUGUCAUCACCAGUUCAAAAGAGAAAAAUUACUUUUCUAACGGUGAAAAACGGCUACUUUUGUAAGCCAUCAGUGUGAACACUUGUUUUUACUUCAUACAUAAGGUUUACAUCCCUCCUUAUUUUAUUUCAUCAACUUUAUUUUAUUUUUAAAAAUUCUACAAUGUCGCAAGCAUCUCAAUCAUCCAAUUCUAAAAAUACUCUAAUUUGUCAUUGUGGGAAGGCAGUUGUCUUGAGGACUUCAUGCACGGAUUCAAAUCCAGGUCGCAAAUUUUAUAAUUGUGCAAUUGCAAAAGGUGAGGUGUGCGUGUUUUUUUCAAAAAUUAAGUUAAUGGUUAUGUAAUUAUUUUUUUUCUAAGGAUAAUGGCACAUGCUCAUUUUUCAAAUGGCUUGAUGAGCUAUCACCUCCAUCCAGUCCAUCAACGCUUAUUCCGGGACUCGAGACAUUAAAUUUGCAAGGCUUGGCAAAAUUUAAUCUAUUACCAAGGCUCCAACAAUGCAAAGAAAAUAAAGAUUUUCUCAUGACUUUGUUCAAAGAAGCCGAAGAACAGAGGGAUCACUUUAAACUAUUACUACAUGACACUCAAAUAGAGAGGGAUCAACUAAAACAAAAAUUGAUUUUGGCCGAAGAAAGAGAGAAUGUCCUAAAAAUGAUGUUAUGUGCUAUAAUGCUAGUAUUCGUUCUUUGGAAAAGUGUAACAUGNNNNNNNNNNNNNNNNNNNNNNNNNNNNNNNNNNNNNNNNNNNNNNNNNNNNNNNNNNNNNNNNNNNNNNNNNNNNNNNNNNNNNNNNNNNNNNNNNNNNNNNNNNNNNNNNNNNNNNNNNNNNNNNNNNNNNNNNNNNNNNNNNNNNNNNNNNNNNNNNNNNNNNNNNNNNNNNNNNNNNNNNNNNNNNNNNNNNNNNNNNNNNNNNNNNNNNNNNNNNNNNNNNNNNNNNNNNNNNNNNNNNNNNNNNNNNNNNNNNNNNNNNNNNNNNNNNNNNNNNNNNNNNNNNNNNNNNNNNNNNNNNNNNNNNNNNNNNNNNNNNNNNNNNNNNNNNNNNNNNNNNNNNNNNNNNNNNNNNNNNNNNNNNCUCAGAAUCAUAACAAGUUUCAUAAAAUAAAAGAAUAAUUGUCAUAUCCUACCACCAGAUCCUUCAAACUUCAUAUUUGUGAAAUAAAAAAAAAUUGUCAUAUCCUAACAACUCAUCAUUUAACAACAAAUUAAACAUCUUAGCAUUUAAAUGUCUCUUUUCCUGAGUUCCUCAUCAACACAAGUGUUACUGUUGAUUUCAUCAACAAUGUCCAUGACCACAUUUGUUUGGACAGCUUCAACUUUUUUUUUUCUCAACAAUUGCAGUUGCUUCUUCAUUCUCACCUUCUUCUCCUUCUUUUUCAGCAUGUACAUCAGUUGCUUCUUCUUCAGUUUCCUUUUCUUCCACACCUUCUUUUCUUACUUCACCUGCAGCAACUGUUUCUUCCUCAGCUUCUUCUUUUCGUUCACCUGCUGCUUCUUGCUCAACUUCUUCUUUGUCAGCUUCUUCUUCAACAGUUUUUUCUUUUUUCGCGCCUCCUUGUUCAUCUGCUGCAGCUUCUUCUUCUUCUUCUUCUUCUUCUUCUUCUUCUUCUUCUUCUUCUUCUUCUUCUUCUUCUUCUUCUUCUUCUUCUUCUUCUUCUUCUUCUGCAGCUGCUGCUGCUACUUUUCCACCUUAUUCUUGGCUCUUAUCUUCUUCACCAUCCUUCUUUUCUUCUUCUUUUUCCUCUUCUGCCACAACAGCGGCCAACUCAUCCAUUUUGCUUUUUUUUUCUCCUUCAUUCUUCUCCGAUUCAUGCACAUGCACUAUUUCAUAAUAUUACAAAGUGUUACUGAUAUUUAAAGCUGAAUAUUCAUUAAAAACAUCAACUAAUGAAUGAAGUUACCUCGCUCAUGUUGUCGCUCAUCAUUUUUCUUUUUCUUCAUUCUUUUCUCUUUGAUAUAGGCAUCAAUAUCCAACACCGCUUCUUCGAGCGCAGCCACACGCUUAUGAAGAUCCCCGGGGGAUGAUGUUCCCAUUGUAUCUUUGGAGGUGCUCGGAGAAUCAUCAUCACCAACACGUACUCCAAUGGGGUUACCACCCAAAUCCCCGUCAUCAUCAUUGUCCUCAUUUAAAGUGAGGACAGUCACCCUUUCUAACUCUUUUUUCAAGCCAUCGAGGACGUUAUUCUUUACCUCGUUCGUAUAUGGCUCAAACUUAAUCAUGUAAUCCAUCUUCGUCUCACGAAUAGUAGGGGUGAUGUACGGGUGCACGUUCUACUAAAUAUCAAUUAACAAUUACAUAACAUUCGAUAAAACGGUACUAUUAUUGCCUUAUAGAAAAUAAGUUCAUACCUUGGUAACUUUUUCUUUAUACUUGAAUGGGUCGCCUUCGAUUAUCUUGUCGCUUUUUGAAGUGUGCCAUCUGAGGAUGCGGGGGAUAGGUAAGGGCUCAUCCAUUGAUUUUCCAGCNNNNNNNNNNNNNNNNNNNNNNNNNNNNNNNNNNNNNNNNNNNNNNNNNNNNNNNNNNNNNNNNNNNNNNNNNNNNNNNNNNNNNNNNNNNNNNNNNNNNNNNNNNNNNNNNNNNNNNNNNNNNNNNNNNNNNNNNNNNNNNNNNNNNNNNNNNNNNNNNNNNNNNNNNNNNNNNNNNNNNNNNNNNNNNNNNNNNNNNNNNNNNNNNNNNNNNNNNNNNNNNNNNNNNNNNNNNNNNNNNNNNNNNNNNNNNNNNNNNNNNNNNNNNNNNNNNNNNNNNNNNNNNNNNNNNNNNNNNNNNNNNNNNNNNNNNNNNNNNNNNNNNNNNNNNNNNNNNNNNNNNNNNNNNNNNNNNNNNNNNNNNNNNNNNNNNNNNNNNNNNNNNNNNNNNNNNNNNNNNNNNNNNNNNNNNNNNNNNNNNNNNNNNNNNNNNNNNNNNNNNNNNNNNNNNNNNNNNNNNNNNNNNNNNNNNNNNNNNNNNNNNNNNNNNNNNNNNNNNNNNNNNNNNNNNNNNNNNNNNNNNNNNNNNNNNNNNNNNNNNNNNNNNNNNNNNNNNNNNNNNNNNNNNNNNNNNNNNNNNNNNNNNNNNNNNNNNNNNNNNNNNNNNNNNNNNNNNNNNNNNNNNNNNNNNNNNNNNNNNNNNNNNNNNNNNNNNNNNNNNNNNNNNNNNNNNNNNNNNNNNNNNNNNNNNNNNNNNNNNNNNNNNNNNNNNNNNNNNNNNNNNNNNNNNNNNNNNNNNNNNNNNNNNNNNNNNNNNNNNNNNNNNNNNNNNNNNNNNNNNNNNNNNNNNNNNNNNNNNNNNNNNNNNNNNNNNNNNNNNNNNNNNNNNNNNNNNNNNNNNNNNNNNNNNNNNNNNNNNNNNNNNNNNNNNNNNNNNNNNNNNNNNNNNNNNNNNNNNNNNNNNNNNNNNNNNNNNNNNNNNNNNNNNNNNNNNNNNNNNNNNNNNNNNNNNNNNNNNNNNNNNNNNNNNNNNNNNNNNNNNNNNNNNNNNNNNNNNNNNNNNNNNNNNNNNNNNNNNNNNNNNNNNNNNNNNNNNNNNNNNNNNNNNNNNNNNNNNNNNNNNNNNNNNNNNNNNNNNNNNNNNNNNNNNNNNNNNNNNNNNNNNNNNNNNNNNCAACACAGUCUACACCUAAAGAACAAAUCUCCCAUUUUCAGUUCAUAGACCACAAGUCUAUCAACAGAAAUAACUCAAUGAUCAAAUGAACCCCCCCUAAAAAAAAAAAAAUAACAAACACCCCACCAUUAAAGAAUUCACUACACAAAUAUACAAUAAUUGAACCAAAAUCGAACAUGCAAAAUAUCAAAACACAACAAUUGCUAAAAAUCAAACUAGUGCACCUAAUCAAACAAAUUAGCUAUUAAUAUUUUAAUUUUCACUAUUUCAGCAAUCAUGUCUUAAAAGAAUUUCAUAUGUCUGAAAAUUGAAAUAUAUCUAUGGCAUUCUCAUUUCAUAGACCACGGGUCUACAAAUAGACCGCGGGUCUACGGACAGAAACAGGACGCUGUUCAAAUCAAAAUGCCAAAAUAACUCUUCAAACAACAAUUAUACCACCAUUCAACACUUCGUUGCUAAAAAAAAACACGAUUAAAUCAAAACACCAAAUUCGAAAAAAAAAAAAACUCCUACAUCACUACCAAUCGAUUAGCAAAAAGAAAAACCAUUUAAAUGGAUCUAGAAAUGAUCAAAACUCGAUUUUAACUAACCUUGCGAAGCAACAACGCCCCCUUAGCAGCUAAAGACGAAGAACGUACGAAAAUGACGUUUUUGGGAGAAGUUGUUUGAAAGCGGGAGUUGGGAAUUGAAGAGGAGAGAGAGAGGGGUUUUUUUUUUUAAUAUUGAAAUAAGUGGAGGGGGUUAGGUGUAUUAUAUUAAAUUUGUAAAGUUGUAUAAAUAAUGAAUUGGUCACUUGGCCCAUGUGUGGGCCCCACUUUUCCCACUUUUUACCCCUAAACCUAAAACAUAAAUCAAAAAGAAAUUAAGUAGGUAUUUGGCAAAAUAGUUUUGCAAAAGUUUUCUUUGGCAAUUAUUCCCAGGGACUAGGCCUAACCUCAACACAGAACACUUAUUGGAGAUUACGUCAUUGCCCCAAAAUAACCAGAACAGAAAGCCUAACUAAUAUGAAAGUUAGCUUUGUCAAAUUUAGUUCUUUGAAAAGGUCAUUUUGAGUUUUUGGACAAGUCAUAAAAGUAACGAAUAAUGCAAUUGUUGUGAGAAGCCGAGGCUAAUUUAGCCAAACGAAUUGCAUUCCCUGUAGUAGUGUUGCACUUAGUAGCUGAUCCAUAUUCUUCAACUUUAUCAAGCUAUCAUCAAUGAUGCUUUUCAUUUACUGGAAUCCCAUUCCGCAAUCAUGUUGGCAACUAUAACGGAGUCAGUUUUCGAUUCAACUAUAUAUUUAAGCGUUGAGACGUGUCAUUAUGACUUUAAUUAUCAAUAUGGUAGAUUUGAUAGUAGUAAAACUGGGAUAUAUCUAUCUAUGAGUUUGUGUUAAAAAUAAUACAGAGAAAUCAGUUUGUUAAUUUUAUUAGUUACUUUCAUAGUUUGGAUUGUUGCUAUCACAUAUUGUAAGAACUGGAAAUGAGUAGAUCAUACGUGACUCUAUACACUUCAUCGAUUAUUAUACAAGAUAAUCAUUCAGUUUUCGGUUGUUAAUUCUCCUUUUUAGUCAACAUUUUGUUGUUGUUGUUGUUUGUUUUCAGGAAAUUUUAUGUAUGGCACUUCCAGUGAAGCAUUCAUCAAGUAGCAAUGGAAACAAACAAUCAAGUAAUUUGCUUGUUCAUACCUGUUAUGCUUGUGGAUUAGAGACACCUGUGAGAGUAGACAUGCAUCAAAGACGACCACGCUUCCAUUUUCCUGAUACGUCGUCACUAUUAUGUCAUCGGCUUUACGUGAUUCACCUUAUGAUGUUUACCUUAAGCCCGAUAAAGCUCAUAUUUUUAAUGAGUUGAUUCAAUUUAGAAAGGAGUAUCCCAAUCUGGUUAUACUUUCUCCUGAUGGAGGACCCGGACAACAAGUAGCUACAACCAAUCCACUGAAAAGAAUAAUAGCAAGACUCAGCUCAGGAGUAAAAAGAAUAAUAGCAAGAGUCGGCUCUCUCUUAAUGAAAGGAGUAAGAUUACUGGCAAAGGCGGAUCCUAUACACAUAUUGGAAACUGUCAUUGUUGUUUCACAUAUUUUGUUUCGACCUCAAAACAAUAGAAAUAUUCAUCUUCUUUAAUUCCAAUUAAAUUUAUUUUCGUAUGAAAACAACAAAAAAUAAAGCUCAAAUUGUAUUUGAUUUACCUUUUUUUGUCAGAUUUGAGUCUUCUGUAUUUGUGAUUUUUAAAUUUUGAAAUUCAGUUGCUAUACAUAAUUUAAGGGAUGCAGUAAUCUACUUGUUAAAUUAAUUGAGUUAAUUACGUCCUUAAUGGGAAGAAAUUCGUUAUUUUAAUUUUUGAAAAACUUUAAAAUAUUCGCAUAUACAAAGAUUGUUAUGUAUAUGUCGGCUGAUAUAUGCAUACUAAUCAGGAGAGAGAGUAAACAAAUUAAAAAUAUGGAAGAGAGUGCAAUUAAUUCUAAAAGGUUGAUAUUUAUGUUAUUUAUACUAAUUAGUAUGCUUGUGCAUCCUUAUUUGAAAAUUGAAACUUCUUAUGUGAAGAAUAGAUCUCUUUUUUGACAUACAGUAUUUUUGUAAUCCAUUUUCAUAAUAACUUUUAUUAAUAGUCUCUAGAUCAUUGCCUUGAUAAAAUAGUGAUGCAGGCAUAGACAUGAGACUGCAUUUCGAAAACUAAUGAUUUAUUAUUAUGAGUUUGGUUUGUUUCAUCCAGAAACAUUUAGAUUCUAAUAUUUUAUAAAUUAAAAUAAUUAGUUUGACUUUCUUAAAAAUAAUUGACUAAAAUUGUACUAUGAACACUUUUAAUUUGAAAUUAAAGAUUUAACUUGUGAAUUUAUUCCAAAACCUCAAACUAAAUCAGUAUUAGUUAAAUUAUCAAUUCAUUUCAUUUUAUAUAUCUUAAUUUGGCUAGAAAUCUAUGCAUGACUUUGGGUCAAAGAUCUUAAAAGAAAAAAUAUUUACUUACAAACACCAUAAAUAUUAUUUAAUUUUGUAAUUGUGAUUUUUAUAAUAGGAAAAUCAUUAAGGAUAAAAAUAAAAUAUUAAAAUUACUAACUAUAGAGAGAGUUUUCAAAAGAUUAAUAAAAAAAUUAUUAACUUAAAAAUUACAUCGAAUGAAGUAAAAGGUAGAAAUGAAGAAAAGGUUAUAGGGGAUUGUAAUAAAUGUAUAACAUUUUUUUGAAACUACAUCGACUAUAAAAGAUCUUUUGAUUGUAUAGUAGAUUUGUUCUUAAUUUAACUAUCAAAGAGAGAAACAUUCAAUCAAAUUUAAUAUAUCAAAGACUAUCCUUGACUAUAUAAUAGACGAAUACUUGACUUAAUUACCAAAAAAAUAAAGGUUUAAUCAAAUUUAAUAUAUCAGAGACCAUUUAUGACUAUAUAAUAGGCAUUCUUGACUUAGUUAUCAAAACAAUAAGAAUCUAAUUAGAUUUGAUAUCCUUAACUUAACUAUUCUUGACUUAGAUUUAUGUACUUACAAACAUCAUAAAUGUUAUUUAAUAAUAUAAUUGGGAUUUCUAUAAAAGGAACAGUAUUAAGAAUAAAAAUGAAAAUAUUAAAAUUACUAACUAUUAAAAUAAUUUUAAAAGAUUAAUAAGAAAUUAUUAAGUUAAAGAUUAAAUCGAAGUAAAAGGUAGAAAUGAAGAAAAGCUUAGAGGGGAUUGUAACAAAAUGUAUAACAUUUUUUUGAAACAACAUCAAUUAUCAUAGAUCUUUUUGAUUGUAUAGUAGAUUUUUUUUUAAUUUAACUAUCAAAGAGAUAAAAUUCAGUCAAAUUUAAUGUAUCAAAGACUAUCCUUGACUAUAUAGUAGAUCAAUACUUGACAUAAUUAUCAAAAAACUAAAGAUUUAAUCAAAUUUAAUGUAUCAAAGAUCAAUCUUGACUAUAUAGUAGACAUUCUUGACUUAUAUAGUUGCCAGAAAGAUAAGAAUCUAAAUAGAUUUGAUAUCCUUAACUACCAAAUAGAUGAAGAUCUAAUCAAAUUUAAUACAUGACAACACAAAAACGUGAAUUAUUUUAAUAUAAAUAUACUUGAAACUUCACAUCUAAAACACCACUAUACUCACUCUUUGUAAAUUGAACAAAAAGUUCAGUUAUCUGUUCAAUCUGCAAUGAAGGUAUAUUAUAUUCCUGUGAUUCCUAAUGAUUUUUUUAAAUUUAUUUAUAAAUUUUGAAUUUUAUAUAUUUGUUUUCAGAGCCAAUCAUCUACCAUGAAACAAUCACAUAUUGGAGGUGCUGAAACCCCAAAGAUUAAUGAUGAUGAAUACGGGUCACUUUUAGAGGAAAAACCUUAUUGUGAUAUGUUUCUUUCAAAGUCUAGUGUCAGUUACCCCUACAAUUUGGUAAAUUUUAUUUUAUUUUCUUCCUUUCUUUAAUUGUUAGUAUGAGUGUCAAACAUAUCAUGGUAGAUGAAAUAUAUAUAUAUAUAUAUAUAUAUAUAUAUAUAUAUAUAUAAUUUAUUGUAACACCUCGUCCUUUCGGGCUAAAGUAUUAACCGUCUUUUCUACAUGUAUAGACCCCAACCCAAUGAUUCUUUGUUAAUAUAUGUGUGAUGAUCAAUCCUGUAGUGUUUCACAAAAUUCCCUAACUCAAGGACGAGUUGAAAGUUUUCCUCUCGAUUGAGCUUUGGUGAGCGUCUAAACUUGGGUCAAUUUCCAUCGAUCAUAAAUUUUUGUAUAUAACGAAUUAGAGGGCCUACUAUGUCUAAGAUGAAAGCUCCUUGAGUCGUCUUUCCAACGCCACCAAGUUCGCCUUAAUCCAAUAUCGGGGUAAGAAGUUAUGCCCAUUUUCCAGAGAGGUGUCAGUCGAGGCCGAAUCACGCAAAAAGUACAUUUUUAGCGGGAUAUUUUGGUACUUUCCCUUCCCAUAAACCUCUCACACGAAUUAAAUAACACCCUAAGCAUUAUUUACUCAUUUAUUAUCAGUUUUACACAUCAAGAUCCUCUUUUCACUCUCAAAAUAAGAUCAAACUAGGGUUUCCUCCAAGAACAAGAAAUCAAGAAUCAAUCCUUAAGUUCAAGACUUCAAAAAACGGAUCAAGAUUUUGGUUUCAUUUUUCAAAUCUUAUAAUCUAAGAUAUGUGGGACUUCUCUAAACAUCAUGGGAAUAAUUUUUCUAUUAUUUUUAUUACAUUAAAGAUCCCCAAUCAUAUUUAUGAAGAAAGGGUUUGAAAUUGUUUGAAAAAGUAUAUGUCAUGAAGUUGUUUUGAAUAAAUUGUAUGUUGUCUUGAACCGUCUAUCGUGAAUUUUGAAUAUAACAAUAUAUUUAUGUUAUAGGAUGCAAUGAAAGUUUGAAUGAGAGCAUGAAUGAUCAAAACCCCCCUUUUUAUCAUGAUAUUUUUGAUUUAUAUUGUUAUGGGUUGUUUAAAGGCAUGAACUUUCAAAACGAAAAAUUAAUGGGUGAGUGCUUGUUUAAUGAUCAUGGAGCGGUACUAUUUAUGAUAUGUUGAAAAUAUGUUUUCACAUGAUAAAUGCUCGUUGUGUCAAAUUAACAAUCUUUUUUGGAUUUUAAGUAAUUACAAAUAUGAGGUGACCACCUAUUGAUUUUACAAUUGGGAGGAGAAUGUUUUGGUAAAUAUUUAAAUUAAAAGUCUAUUUCAUAACUCUCUCUCAUCUGAUUUUAAAAGUUAGGGUGGUCAUGAAUACGAUAAUAAGUCAAAAGGGCCGCAGACAUAAUGUGACGUAAUUUGAUUGACUUGCAAGUCAGGUAUGAUGAUACCCGAUGAUUCCAUGCUCUUAACAAGAUAGUGUUGAAUGUUUGGAAAGUAUGAAUGUGUUUUAGUUAAAGAACAAAAAGUUGGGCUUAAGAGAGCUAGUAGGUUACCUGAAGAAGGCGUUUGAGCGCAAGGGCUCAUCUUGCCGAUACGGGACUUAUGAUAUAUGAUCCUACAUGAUAUGAAGUUUUUAGGACAUGUCACAUGGGGGGAUUUCCUGCGGAGUGCUCACAUGGGGCGUAUCACCACUCCAAUCCUGGCGGCUACUUGGAUUAGAGGCUUGACCGUCGAGUCAAGGGAGGAUUUCAUAUAACCCGUAGAAUUACGUAUUGUAGGGUGUACCAUCUAACUUAGAAAAAUAACAAAGAGUGAGUCAUUGUUUCAAAGGAGUGUUUUGUAGAUCACUAAAGUAUGUCCAUGUAUUUUUACUUACGUAUUAUGGUCAUUAUUUUUAUGAAAUGCUCUCAUCUAUUUUGUAUUAAAAGCAUGCUAUUUUGAGUUGUUUUCCAUACCAGUGCGUUUUUAUUGACCCCUUAUAUUUCAAGGUCUGAGGCUCAGUCCAGGGGUCCCGCCAAAUUGUAGAAUCUUUAGACCGAAGUGAGUAGUUGGUGAGCCUUCUUUAUUUCGGAAGGCCUGUUGCUAGAGUAUUGUUUUGCAUUUUAGUUUUGGGUCCGACUGGGGGCCUUAUCCCAGUUAUAGACAAGUUAUUAUAUUCUGAUGUAUUAGAGAUUUCACAAAUUGAGAUGGAUAUUGUCUAGAUGUCUAUUGAUUUCAUUCCGUAUUGUAAAAUUGAACUCAAAGUAUUACCAUGAUUUCGUCUGUUUAUUUUUUCGCAUUUCUCUUUAUUGUAUGUGAAUGGUGUUUGUGAUUGCCAGAUAGAAAAGAGGCGCUCGGACGUCCACGGUUUGGGAUGUCCAUCACGGCCAGAGCUUCGGUUCGGAUCGUGACAUUUAUAUUACUGAAUUUCUUUAUAUGUUUGAUAGUAUUUACCUAGGGAAAUGCAGAAGUGGCUUCCUUCAUCUGAAGCUCUUGUAGUCCUUACUUGUGGUAAAUACAAGUGGGAAGUAUUUUACGAUGGACCAAAAUUUUAUCACAAAUUUAACAGUACUGAUUGAAAAAAAUUUAUGAUUGAUAAAAAUUUAAAGGAAGGGGAUGCACUCGUGUCUUAACUUUCAAAGUGCAGCGCCAACAAAACUGAUUUAAGGGUUAUGUUCUCAGGAAUGAUCUUCCAGCUGAAUUUAUUAUUAAAGAUGAAGAUAAAGAGGGUGCAAGAAGUGACAAUCCAAUACUACUUGGUUAAAUAGUUUUCUAAUUUUUAGAAGUUGUUGAUCAAUAAGUUUUAUUUUUUGCAAAAUACACCUACAGUUUUAUUAAGUUUAUUUAGUGAGUUUUAUUUUCUAUAAAAUGCAUCCAGUUGUAUUCACUUAUGUUAGUUGGAUUCAAUUACUGUUUAUUUAAAAGAAUUGACUUUCUAUUUGUUUUGUGUAUUUUUUGUAUGGUGAUUGUGGUUAUCUUUUGAUUGUAUCUUAAUUAAGUAUUAACUCUUCUAUAUCAUUUAAAGUUAAAGAAUAAUUGUGAGUAUCUUGACAAUUACAAAUUUGUUAACAUACUAAUAUAAAAAAUAUGUAUUUAUUGUAUUUGACAUCUUGAAGUUUCAUCUUCUUAUAAAGUUAAACGUAGCUUUUAAAAAAAAAUUGUUUUUAAAAAUUGUAGAAUCAUAAUUUGAAUCAAAUGAAAUAAAACUCAAGGAAAAUGAGGAGAGAAAAAAGAAUUAUUAGAGGCCGAAUAAAAAGAUGAAUUAAUUUUUUUCUUGAAUAAAAACACAUUAAAUAGUAAAGAAUAAUAGACUUUCUUAACUUGAAUGCAGAAUGAAUAAAAAUUCAACCUUAUUUGAUAUAUUUGAUUAUUCGAUCAUUAGGCCCUGCAUUCUUGAAUUAUUAAAAUUUCUCCUACAAAUAUUAAAUAAUUCUAUCAGAAUCCCCCAAAGUGUAUGAAGUGAAGACAUUCUUCAUAUGUUGAAGUUAGCCUGCUUUUCUCAAUCUCAAAAAAUAAUUUUUUUCAUCUUGUAACGACCCGGAACUAUCCCUAGUCGUCACACGGUGUUUACGACCCCACCACAAGCUAGCCCGUGAAUGAUAUCUGUUGUGAGCACUGAAUAAUAAUACUGAAAUAAAUGCGGAAUAAUAGGUUGAGAUGCCAUAAGGUUCAAAGCAUCUAAAAUACUGAUAAAAUAUAACAUCUGAGAUAAUAUCUGUAAAAUUGAAUACUGACUGAAACAAAUCUGAAAAGCCUCUAACUGAAACUGUCUAAAAGUGGAGUUGAUGGGACAAUCCUCCAACUAACUCCAUAUACUAAAAUGCUGAGUCUACUGAGACAAUGAAAUAAAAGAAUGUCCUCGAAUGAUAAGGACUCACUGCUAAAUAUACUGUUACUGGCUGAAUCUAAAUCUACUAUGCAUGGUCGGGUACUUGAGCGUCCGAACCUAUGAUAUGAAACAUCAUAGCACAGGAAAGUAUGUGUUAGUAUGUAGGAAUGUACUAGUAUGCUAGAUGAGGUAAGACUGAAUGUAAGGGCUCAUAUGCAUGAAUAGUAACUGACUAAUGAAAUAGAGUAACUGAAUAUAAGUGUACAUGGAAAAUCUGCAACUACUGUGAAUACUAAGUAUGCAAUACUGCGCAUAUACAUGAAUACUGUAACUGAUCUUUUCCGAAGCUAAGUACUGAGUUCUGAUAAUCUAAGAUUACUGAUGCUGAUUGACUGUAUCUGACAGUCCUGACUCUGUAGAACUGAACUAAGUUCUAUUCUGAAGACUGAGAUUGAAACUGUGGAAGGUAAUUAUCUAACCGACAUGCCCCAAAUAGGAUAAGAUAACUGAGCUGGGGUCCAAUCUGUAACCCCAAUUAGAAGGGUGUUAGUACCGUGCCAUGGGUAAAGACAACUACCGUGGAGUCACCUAACUAACGGGUGACCCCUGAGAUCAGUCCUAAACUAGCAGGUAAUCCCUGAGUAUGUCAGUCCUAUCUAACAGGUAACAUCUCAUAACCUACGUUGGCUACGUAGUUCUGAAACUCAGGGAUUGCUUCUAGGGACCCAGUCCUAACUAACGGGUAUGCCCCCAUCCCUAGACUCCCUCGGUGCUGAAUCCUACUCCCAACUAAAAGAUACUGAACUGAGUAUACUGAACUGGACUGGACUAAUACUAAUAUUACUGAGUUUUUCUAAGUUCUGUAACUGACUGAGUUCUAUUGGGUUUUGUAACGGACUGAGAGAACUACUGAUCGUGACAUGACUGAUACUAUUCUUUAACUGACAUUGGAGCUAGAUAAACAGCUAAAUUAUCGGGUAUUAAAUAUCCCAGGACUCGAUAACAUGAAAAGUAAAGUAAGGCAUAACUUUGAAUAACAUAUAAUGUUCACUUGGUCAAAAUUCAUUCAUAGAGACGUUUAAUCAAAUACUUGUAACGCAUUAACUUGUACAUAAAUGGAGAACACACGUUAGCAUGCUAUAAUGGCAUUGUUUAAUUCUCAUAGAUAAUUUAUCAAACACAUGAAAAGCAUAAUUGGUACAUUAAAUCAUAAACACUUAGGGUUGACAUAAUUACAACAAUCAACUUGCUCAUUGAAGGGCUUAUCAUGAAUAUCAUGUAUUCAACACAUAUUAGGAUCAAUUCUUGAAAUUUGUAAUCUAGAUCAUGGAUUAAAAUUAAAAUAACUUCAUAGGCACCUUAAUCACUUUGUAAAUUCAAGAGUUUAUCAAGAUAAUCAAAUAUUCUUCGCACUUGCUAUUCAAUUUCAGGAAAAACAUGCACUUAAAUCAUGGAUUAAGACCCAACUAAUACAAUGAACAUGAAUUCAAUCUAAUUCAAACAUGGAAAUCAUAAAUACAUAAUCUUUGUACUUCAAAAAAGGAUUCUUGAACUUCAUGGGUGGAAGGGAUCCAUGAAUAAACAUCUAACUGUCACACCCCCUUUUCGUCCAAAGGGAUCGAAGUCGAAGAGUUUUUCCAGUUAAAUAUUUUUCCAGUUAAAGUGACGGUAUUGAAUAGAGAUUAUUUUUAUCAUUUUCAGAGUCGCCACUUAAAAUUGAGUUACGGUGUUUCAAGUCACCUUUUUGAAUCCCUAAUCAAAAGGAAAUGACUCUUUCUAUUGGUUUGCGAAAACAGAAGACCAGGUAAGGAAUUCAGCUGACCGAGGGGAAGGUGUGAGGCACCCCCUGAGUCCCGUUGUUCUAGCACGAUCGCUUUUAUUGACUUAUCUUAACUUAAACUAUUUUGACAGAUUAUGUUAGUAGGCCUUAGUUCGCUCAUUUUUAAUUAUAUCGAAAAUGUUUGUCUACAUUUUCGAUAUAAUUAGGCGCCCGCUAAGUCAAAUGCAUAUGAUGCAAAUAAAGCGGCACCUAAUAGGGAUAACCAGAUUCUGAGUUUUCAGUUCUUCUAAGUUUAAGCCUAAUAGGGAUAGGUGUCUAGACAGGCUUACCAGAGCGGACACUCGAGCCGGGGAAGGACAACUUGGUCGGUAGCAGGCCAACACCGCCUUCGUUGCCGAUCCGAACCCCGCCUAACAUGUGUGACUAUAAUCCUUCACCAAGUGCCUUGACACUCCGGCUAUCUCAAAAAGAAAGUUAGGAUGCAUACGCUGCAUUCCUUCUAUCCUAUUUCAGAGACUCAGAGGGGUGUGCGAGAGAAGACAGUAUAUAAUGCAGUUCAAUCAAUAUCAAAGCGGUAAAUAAGAGACAAGUAGAACAUAAGGCCAACAAACACAAUAUCAACAAUAAUUAAAGCAAGUAUAAGUCAAUAUAAAAAGCUCGAAUUCUUAUUAGUCCCUAGCAGAGUCGCCAGAGAUGUCACACCCCUUUUUCGCCCGAAAGGAUCGAAGUCGAAGGGUUUUUCAAUUAAAGUGACAGUAUUGAAUAGGGAUUAUUUUUAUCAUUUUCAGAGUCACCACUUGGAAUUGAGUUACGGUGUUUCAAGUCACCUUUUUGAAUCCCUAAUCAAAAGGAAAUGACUCUUUUUAUUGGUUUGCGAAAACAGAAGAUCGGGUAAGGAAUUCUGUUGACCGAGGGGAAGGUGUGAGGCACCCCUCGAGUGCCGUGGUUCUAGCGCGGUCGUUUUUAUUAACUUAUGUUAACUUAAACUAUUUUGACAAAUUAUGCUAGUAGGCCUUAGUUCGCUCAUUUUUAAUUAUAUCGAAAAUGUUUGUCUACACCUCGUAUAUUAAACAAAUAGGUGAAAAUUUUAUUGUAGAAAAAUAUUUGCCAAGGUGCAUUAUUGUAUCCUUGAAUUUUAAAAAUGUCUAAUAAAGAUGCGUACACCGCAUUCAUAAUUAAGACGAAUAUUAAAAAUAUCGAAUAAUUUGUCUUGCGUAAAACAAAACUUGCUUACUCAACGUCUAAUUUUAAAAGUAAGUUUGAAUAAAAUUCAUUUAAGACAAUUAUAUAAUUUAACAAAAAUAAUUAUUAAAAUUUAUUAAUAAUGAUGAAUAAAUAAAAUAAAAUAAAAUAAUUAUAUAUAAAAAUGCAUAUAUAAGGAUGACAUCACACAAAGGCUAACCCUUCUUUAUAAAUACAUAUGUAAUCAUAUUUUUAAAACUCUUAGCAUAUAAUAUAUUAAUAAAUAUACACUUAAACUUUAAUGUUUACUGUAUUUAUUAAGGAAAACGGAACCUCUAAUAGCUAGCAGAAAAUAUUCCUAUACAACUACAUAUAUUAUACCCAUAUUCAUUUUUUUUAUCAAAAUUUUCUUUCAAAAUAAGGUUCUAAAUGGUGGCGACGAAAAUAGAUCAAGUAACAAUGGCCGUUCAACGAAACCUGUCCGUCAGUGAUUAGUUCUAACGAGGCACGGCUGUAGUAAGGGUGAGAGGCACCGGCAGCAGAUUUGACGGGAUCUCCGAUGAUGGUUAUUCUAGCCAGAUCUGGCCUUCUCAUGGCGCGAAAGUGGCGGGAGAAAGGAGAAAAGAGGCGACGUGGUGGCGGGGGUUAUGGUCGACGGGGAAGGGAGAAGGAGAUGAUGAUAGCGCCGAUUUGGUCGAUUGGUUUCGGAAAAUCAGUGUACGCGUGUGCGUGUUCCGGUGGAUAUGUGCAGUAUUAUGAAUGUACAGUUUAAAAGGUAGAUUUCAUGAAUAUGUGAUUGUGUGAUUUGUGUAAAAUAUAUAUAUAAAUAUCUUGCAUCUACUGUUCUGGGAAUAAAAUUAUAUGAUCAUAUAUAUGUGCCGGCAAGAUAUCAUGCAUAAAAAUCAUUAUCGUUACAUAUGUUUACACACACAAAAUAUUUUGAAUAUUUCAUCCAUAUUUCCACAAUUUAAGUGAUAACAUAAUAAUACAUAAUUGAAUAUGAACUUGUAAUGAAUCAAGUCAUUACCGAAACUCGAACGGAAACUCGAAAUUUAAUUUUUAUGCUUUUCUCUUUUGCCUGAUGUUUUUCUCCAUGUGAUUUUGAAUAUUUCACUCACUUUUUACUGACUGGUUUUAUGCAGUAUCUGUGUAACACCCGUAUUCAAGUGCAUGUAUUGGCGUAUUCAAGUACGUGUAUUGGUCUUAUUUAUAUGGAAUUAAUUUUUUAUUUUAUUUAUACCGGAAUUUGCCCGUCGAUGGUUCCAUGCGAAGGUUAUUGAAUAAGCUUUCCAACGAUAUAAAGAUUUCCAAAAACAGAUAGGUUUCGGAUAUAAUCGACCACGUUUGAAACUAUAAAACGGUGGCCGGAAUAUUUGGGAAUAGUAAAUGUGCAGGAAAAUUUCCUGCACACAAACUACUGAGGCCAGCCGAUUUUUUGGGUCAACUUCGAACGAUCAUAACUCCCUUAAUAUAAUGAACUGGGAGAGCUGCAACCUAUGAAAAGAAAUAUCUUUGAGUCUUCUUUCCAAUGCAAUUAGUUUCAUCCAUAUCCAACGUCUGAGUAAGGAGUUAUACUUGUUUUACUUCAGCCUAUCAAAACAGAUUUUUAGGGUCAACUUCAAACGACCAUAACUCUUUGUACAUGACGAACUGGGUGGCCUACUUUAUAUGAAAUGAAAGCCCUUUGAAUUAUCCUUCCAACGAUAUCAAUUUCACCCAAAUCCAAUAUCGGAGCAAAGAGUUAUGGUCGAUCUACUUUAGCUUAUCAAAACAGUCCACCAAAGGACAGAUUUGACAUUAUUUAAAUUUUAAAGGCAUUUUGGUCAUUUCCUAUUAUAUUAUGGACGGGAAUAUGUGUAUAUAUACAUGUAUAUGAGUUAAAAAACUCAUUUUCAUCAUCAAUCAUUGAGAAAGAACAAACCCUAGCCAAAUUUGACCUUUAAAUUACUUUUGAUUCAACCGUAGAAAUUCCAAAGUAAUCCGAUAACUGCGUUUGUCAUCUCGAGAGCUUCGAACGACACCUAUUAUUUAUGCAAACAGGAUUGCAUAAUCAAGAGGUGAAUUCUAAGGUAUGAAUAUUGUUUGCCUUGUUCUUUUCCAUAUGUAUAUGUGUGAUAGAGGAUUAUAUGUAUUGGUUGUUAUUGAAAGGUGAUGAAAAUAGGAUUAUGGACUAUUUUGCAUGGUUUGAUUGUAUUGAAUUGUGGAAGGUGGAUAUGGUAAUUGAGUUAUGGAAGGUGGAUAUGGUGAUAUACUAUUGAAUUGAUGAUUAUUUAUGUCUAUGGCUCAAUUUGGUUUAAUGGAUUGGUUGGAAGGAUAAAUGAAUCCAAACUUGAUAUUGGAGGAUGUUGUAUGAAUAUGCAUGGCAUGUGAAUGUAAUUGGAGUAUAAGAGGGUUAAAGUGACACCCUUUAUGGUGUAAUUAAGGCUUACUACUUAACCACUAGUUUGGUGAAUUCAAAUAAUUGAAUUGUGACGUUUGGUUGCUAAUACUAGAUUGCUAUAUAUGUUCAUUGUAGAUAAGUAAUCUGAAAAGACGGGAAGUCCAUUUGGGACUAGUAUUGAAGGUUGAUAGUCAGGUAUGUAAAGCAUACUCUAUACCAUAUCUUUGGCAUGAAAGUGAACAAUUGUUCUAUUAAGAAAGUUUCCAAAGUUAUUCAAUAACAUGUGAUCCCUAAUGGUAUUGUAUGAUGUCCUACGUUACCAAUGAACUUGUUUCCACCCUACAAGAUGUCAAGACAUUCCAAUACUUACUUGUUUUCCAAAUUUUACAUGUUUAUUGCACUAAUGAAUGUCAUAAGAUAUCCGGUUACUCAAACAAGAUCCAUGUGUUAUUAAUAACUCCAAAACGUUUCAUUGAUAUACCAAUAAGUUCCUACUUUAUUGUUAUGGUAUUGAUGACUCCAAAACACUUCAUUGAUGUGCCAAUGAGUUCUUACUUCAUUGUUAUUGCAUUGAUGGUCUAUUUAUAUGUCUCUUAUUGAUGUAUCAUUGUUUCAAAGUAUUAAAAAUGCGGUGGCAACCGAAAUAACAAUCUCAAAGAUUAAUUGAACUAAGUGAUGGAAGUUCUCUUUUAUUGGGUGGUAUCCCAGGAGCAUAAGUCUAUCAUGGGUCGAUCCCUAUUUAUGUGUUUAUGAGUGGUAUCCCAGGGGCAUAAGCCUAUCAUGGGUCGAUCCCAGUUGAUAUGUACUGGAGGCAGCCUAAUGGUCACAGUACAAUACAGUAAUGAUUACAAAGAUGAUAAGAACGAAGGUAAAGUGAUUGAAUAAAUACAAUGUACAGGUUGUCACAAAUUCUAGUAAGUGUGGUCCACUCCUAUUACGAUUUAUUCACUUGUUUCUGAUUUCUAUUGAGCACCUAUAUCAUAUGUGAUUAUCUAAAGCUUUACAUACUCAGUACAUAUUUCGUACUGACGUCCCCCACGAGGGACCUNNNNNNNNNNNNNNNNNNNNNNNNNNNNNNNNNNNNNNNNNNNNNNNNNNNNNNNNNNNNNNNNNNNNNNNNNNNNNNNNNNNNNNNNNNNNNNNNNNNNNNNNNNNNNNNNNNNNNNNNNNNNNNNNNNNNNNNNNNNNNNNNNNNNNNNNNNNNNNNNNNNNNNNNNNNNNNNNNNNNNNNNNNNNNNNNNNNNNNNNNNNNNNNNNNNNNNNNNNNNNNNNNNNNNNNNNNNNNNNNNNNNNNNNNNNNNNNNNNNNNNNNNNNNNNNNNNNNNNNNNNNNNNNNNNNNNNNNNNNNNNNNNNNNNNNNNNNNNNNNNNNNNNNNNNNNNNNNNNNNNNNNNNNNNNNNNNNNNNNNNNNNNNNNNNNNNNNNNNNNNNNNNNNNNNNNNNNNNNNNNNNNNGAGCCAGGAUAUCCAGCUGCUUUUGGUGAGCUCCAGUUUGCUUCGAGGCUUUCCGUGUCAUAUCCAGUCACUUUUGGUAUUGUAUAGAAGUUAGUUAUAUGGCGGGGUGUGUCCCGACCCUAGUUAAACUCUGUGUAUUGUCUAGAGGCUUUGUAGACCUAAUGUACAGUCAAGGUGGUGUUUUGUUAAUAGACGUGAUGGUUCCAACGUUAAUAGACGUGAUGGUUCCAACGGUCAAGUAUUGUAUAUACAUAUAUAUGUGUGCUCGAGCUUAGACAGGUGAUUAUUUCCUUUUAUAUCCGACAUGAUACUGUCUGAAUUUUGGGUUGUCGUAGAGGUAUGCAUGGGAAGUAUAAGGUUAUGAGCUGGUUCUCCCGGGUCUCAUCGAUUACGGGUGCCAGUCCGCCCCAAUAGGAUUUGACGCGUGACAAUCUGGUAGUAAUGAUAAUAUGUUGUCUCAGUAUGUGGUUCUGAUAAUGAAUGUACAUAGUCUCUCUGGGUCCUUUGACUGGUUGAGAAGUCCUUAAAUAUGGAGACUUUUAUGGGGAACCGUUACUUUCUGGGGGAGUAAUUUUUAACAGAUAAGGGGGAAAAGGAAUAUUUAAAAUUCAAAUUAUAUAUAUAUAUAUAUAUAUAUAAGAAUACUAAUAAAUAAAGAUAAUGAUAAUAAAUAAAUAAAUAAUAAUAUAAAUAUAAUAUUAGAAUAAAAUAAAAUAAAUUAAAAUUUCUCAAAAUUAACUUUAUUUAAUUAUUUAUUUUUAAACUAAAAAUUUAUUAAAAUAAAAAUAAGAAUCAAAAUAAUAUAUGAUCAAGUAUAUAAAUAUAAAAUAUUUAAUAUCGAUAAACAAGUUAAAAUUUUGGGAGGAUCAAAAAUCACAUGUCUACUCUAACAUAACUUAAUUUGUGAGUUUCUUGGAGUUCUUGGAGAGAUUCUUGGAAUUGACCUUAAUUUCUUGAACUAGGAUUUUUGCCUCUUGAGAGAGAAUGAUUUUGUUCUUGAGAGAAAGUGAGGAAAAGUGACAUAAUAGAAUAUUUAGGGCAUAAUUUCAUAUUUAAAGGCUAAUCUGGGUCAUAAAAAAAGACCUUAUUGCCCCUAAAAAAACUUUAAUUUUCGUCACUGAAAACCUGAUUUGGGCACCUGGCACGACGCAGCGCUAUCGCGUCGUGUCACUAGAAACUGACGAUUAGGAACUGGGCUGAUGGCGCGACGCGACGCCAUCGCGGUGCUUCAUUGGUUGCGAAUUUUUCCUUUGGCGCGACACACCAUGAUCGCGGAGUCACACUGGAAAGUGACAAUUGGGAAAAAGGAUAGUGACGCAAUGCGGUGGUAUCGCGUUGUCUCACUGAAAAAUGACGAAUGUCAUUUGGACUGCCUCCGCGACGCGUUAAAGUAUCAGGUGGUACACUGUCUCACUAAAAUGACUUUAACUAUUCGCCCGGGUGUCGGAUUUGGACGAAUUUGGUAUUGAUGGAAAUCUUAUUCAAUUUCCCACACAAUGAAAAGUCAAAAUCUUGAAAAUUCCACAUGUAUAAAAGUGUAUUCAUCUUUAAAGUAAGUCUUUGACAUUUUUUAGACGAAUUUAAGAUAGGUAAAAGUACGGGGUAUUACAAUUCUAAUCUUGACAUGUUUUUCAUCCUUUCUCAUAUAAAAUAUCAAAAAUUAACUUCUCUUCCUCCUAUUAUUAUUAUCAUUAUUAUUAUUAUCAAGAGAAAUUGUAUAAAAUAGAAAGUGAAAUUUGAAUUUUAGUAAAUUUAAUUGUGUUUUUUUGAGAAGAAAAUUUUCUGCCAAACUAGUUGAGAUUUUAAGUGUUGCAAUUUUCAAUGCCCAUUUUAUCUGGGUUUUUCUCCUGCAUUAUUGUGAAUUUUUAAUAAUGCUAAAACAUAUAUUUAGCGAGUAAUUUAUUACCCGAUUCUUAAUGUUAUAACAAAAUUUUAAAUUUGUGCCAAUUAAAUCAUUGACAAAAAGGUUUUUUGGAACCAUCAAUUCAACCAAUGAAUUAAAAUAAAAAUAUAUGUAUAUAUAUUUUUAAAAACAGCAAGAAUUAAAUCAAUGAAAAUUCGAUUGGAUAUGUUGACUCCAAUAUUUAAAAGACAAAAUUAAUUAAUUGGGUUUUCUUUUUAAAAAUCAAUUGAAAUUGAACCAUGAACACCUCAAAUUUGAAGUAAAUUACAGAUUUUACUUCAUAAAUUUUUUCUGCUAUGUAACUCCUAUUUGGUAAUAAAAUCAGUUUAUUUAAUCACACCCCAGCCCACCCACCCAAAAAAAAAAAGAGAUAAAAGAGUAAUAUUUAAUGAUACCAACAAAUAACCUUCAUGAGACUAUGAAACCUUCUCGUGCAAGAGAGUUUGAGUCCACUAAGGUAGAACCGAAUCCAUCUAUAGCAAAGGAGAAAACCCUGACAUAACAAAGACCAUCAAACAUUCGAUGGAAAACUAAUAAUGGAAAAAGGGAAAAAUACAUGAAGUAACAUACGUAAGUAAUAAAUUGCAAAAAAUAAUAACAUUUUUAUAAAAUUACAUUUUAUAACAUUUAUAGCAUUAUUUUAUUGUGGUCCCCUACUUUUUACCUUAACUGACAAUUAUUCCCUUUUCACGCCAUAAGUUUUCUCUUUCCUAAUUUUGAAAGAUUUUUUGCCAUUUUUUUCGCCCUCAACAAAAUCUUUCCGCUCCAAUUUUAGUUCCCUUAGCACGAUUUUAGCACCAUCAACAAAUAUUAUCUUUAUCUAUUUCAGGUAACUCUAAAUUUAACUAUUGCAUGUUAGAAUUUUUUUUUGUGCAAAAUUCAGAAAUAGCAUACUCUAUUAUAUCUCAAAAUCAGAUUUUAAGAUUUUUUAUUUUAUUGGCUGAACAAACACCAAAAUCAUGAACAAAUAAUGGUAUACGAAAUUUGAAUUUGAUGUUUGAUUGUGGACCAUCUAUUAGUUUUGGGUUAACUCAAGAAGAUGUAGUUAAAGUUGUUUUAAAUUCUUUACUGUUGAAGAAAUUUGAGAAAUCAAAGGAGAUUAGGUCGAAGUUUCGAAAAGAUCCACUGAAGAUGACGGAGAUUUUGAAGAAAAAAAAAACAUUGAAGAAAACGCCUUCUCCAAAGGAAAAAAAAAUUAAAAAAAUUCAUAAGAAACGGAAAGCUAAAGAAAUUGAAGGUUUGAAUAAGGUUGAUGAGGAUGUUCAGAUCUCUUUUGCAAAUGAUUCUGAAGAAGAAAUUGAGGAAGAGUUAUUUUUUUGUUGUAAAUGUAUUUUUUGAGUAAAAUGUACUUUACUCUAAGUAAAGAUGUUUCUAAAGUUGUAAGUUAUAUGUAUUUUUUUGAAUUAAUUAAUAUGUAUUUUAUAUUAUGAUGAUAUUUAGGGAUUGUAGAAAACUGAUUUGUGAAGAUGAUAGUAUAAUUGUGAAAAUAUGUUCUUGUAUUAACUACUCGUGAAGAGUAUAUUGGCUAUAUGUAUUUUUAGCAUAAUUGUUUUGUAUUUUUUAGUGUUGGUUGCAGUUUUGAUAUGGUCAAAAUACAUAUGCAUGUUAAUUUUACUUGAACUACCAGAAUAGUCUAUUGGAUAUAUGUAUUUUUAGUACAUAUGAUAUGUAUUUUUCAAUGUUGGUUGCAAUUUUGAUAUGAUCAAAAUACAUAUGUAUCUUAAUUUUAGCUUAACUAUCAGAAUAGUCUAUUGGCUAUAUGUAUUUUUAAUAUAUUUGAUAUGUAUUUUUAAGUGUUUUUUUGCAGUUUUGAUAUGAUAAAAAUAUAUAUAUGCAUGUUACUUUUAGUUUAACUACCACAACAGUCUAUUGGCUAUAUGUAUUUUUAGUAUAUUUGAUAUGUCUUUUUCAGUGUUGGUUGCAGUUUUGAUAUGAUCAAAAUACAUAUGCCUGUUAUAUGUUUUUGGGUUUUUUUGUCUGCUUGAUUUUUUAGCUGCAUGUUAUAUGUUUUUUUGCGACAAUAACAUUUUUGGUUAUUUACUUUGUAUAGGUGAUGUGGGAUGAAAUAUUCAUUAUCAGAAAACUUCCAAGAUUUGCACCACACAUGUGUUCGUACAGUGACAAAGAUAUUUAUGGAAGCAUACACAAUUUUAAAUAAGGAACAGUUUAAAAACUUUUGCGACAAUAACAUUUUUGGUUAUUUUAUGAAGAUGAAGCAAUGUGUAGUGCAAACACAGUUGUGCAGAUGCAUUAUGACACUUGAGGUGAAGGGUAGUUCUUCUUCUGGGAUUAUGAUAUGUGCUAAUGGCACCUUUCUUACUUUUACUUUCAGAAAAUUUGUUAUCAUAACUGGAUUGAAUUGUGUGUCUAAUAGGUAUGACUUUAUUUUUGAUGAAGGUGUACCAAAUAGGUGGUUGAGAAGUAUUUCAAUGGGGCAGAAAUUAUACAGAAAAGGCAAUUAUUUCUAGCAUUCACGGAGAAAGUAUGGGGGGAGAACAAUGAUGAAGAUGCUGAGAAAUUUGCAAUUCUGUAUUUUCUGCAUUCAUUUGUUUUAUCUAAUGUUGAAAUUGUGAUUAUACCCCGUCUUUAUUUCGAUUUGGUUGAUAGUGAAAGAUAUAAGGAUUUUUCAUGGGGUUCUGUAUCUUUUGAAGAUCUGGCCAGAAGUUUGAAUAAUCGGUUAAAAGCUGGUGGUCAAUUUUAUUUGAUUCAGGAAAUGCUACUGGCUAUUCAGGUGUGGAUUUAUAAGUGUUGUUCAAAUGUUUCGCCAAAGAUUGCAUCGAAGGUUGAUAAUCGGAUUCCCCGAUUAUUAAAUUGGAAGACGAUUGCACCUCGUCCAUGUUUUGAGUUUUUGAUGAAUGCUAUGUUCAAGGACAAUGGCAAAGUUUAUUGUGAAUAAAUAUUUUAUGUAUUGAUAUGUAUUGUAUAGUCUACAUUUAUGGAGUUCUACCUUUUACUGUGACAAUUAGUUAAAAAAUAUAUAUGUAGUGGUCAUAUUAUGCUUACAAAUACAUAUGCAGUAUAAGCCUAAAAAUACAUAUGAAGUGUUAAAAUCAAACAUUACAAAAAUACAACUGGAACAUACCUAAUAUGUAUGUAUUUAAAUACAUAUAUUUAAAUAUUUGAACAAUUAGAAACCAUAUACUUGUUUGGUUAAUCCAAGUUACCACCUUUAACCUAAAAUAUAUAUACUAUGUCAAAAAUACAUAUGAACUGCGGCUUGAAAAUACUUGUAUAAUGUUUACAAAUAAAGGAAGACAAUUCUUGUCUUCUAUCUGCUUUUUCUGCAAAAUAAACACCUUUAAUCCCAUAUCAUUAUGUAUUUUCAUCUGUCCUGCAUUAGCAGUGAUUUGAUAUUUAACUAGAAUACGUUUGCUGGCUAAAUCCACACUGAAGUGAGAUGUGAAAACAUCGUGCAGCUCAACGAAUAUUGCUAAUGUGCUCAACAGUAUAGCAUCAGUGACAUAUUCAUCGUAGUUUUUUUCAUAUGUCUAUCGACCAGAGUGCUUCACAAGGACUGGUAUGCUUCCCGUUUCUACUUGGUUUAACCAAAAAAUAAACAAAUAUACAUAUUUGUCAGAUGUCAUUUAUUUUAAAACACACUUUAUAGCUUUAAGUGCAAACAAAGCUACACAACCAACAUCUCCAAUUAAAAAAUACAUUUAGGUACAAAAUAUAUUUUCACAUAUACAGUUAUACUCUUAAAUUCUGAUAAGCUAAACAAAAAUACAUAUGCAGUGUUAACAUUAAUCAUAUCAAAAAAUACAUCUGGAGCAUACCAAAUUUAUAAUUUGAUAUUUGUUAUAAAUAUUUGUUAGAUGUCAGUUGUUGUAACACACACUUUUCAGCUUUAAGUGCAAACAAAGUUACACAGCCAACAACUCCAUUUAAAAAAUACAUUUAAACAACAUUUGUUUAACGUAAAAUACGAACACAGCAAAAGUUUUCAACCAAAUAAAGAAACUAUUGAAUCGAACGGAAGUAAAACAAGUAUAAAAUAUCUUUUCACAUAUACAGCUAUACUCUGACAUUACGACAAGCAAAACAAAAAUACAUAUGCAGUGUUAACAGUAACCAUAUCAAAAAUACAUAUGCAGUGUUAACAGUAACCAUAUCAAAAAUACAUAUGCAGUGUUAACACUAAACAUAUCAAAAAUACAUCUGGAGCAUACCUGAAACAAUUUUAUGCUGAAACUUGCAAUAGAUAGUUGAAUCCCCAAUUUUUUGUUUCUAUAUAUUGAAUUUUACUACUACAUUGCUUCUAACUCAAAUUUCGUUUACAAUUUUUUCAAAAAUAAAUUAACGAAGACAACAAAAAAUUAGAUAGGCGCAUCAGUAAUUGUUAGAAAAAAAAUUGAAACUAAAAAAAUUAAUGAUUAUGUACCUUAAACAACAGUACUGGUUGAAUUUGCAACUGAUAGUUGAAUUCGAACAAAUUGAACUGAAGAAUCUACAAUUGAAUUUGAUUCAAACAUAUUAAUUCUUUAUUUUGAAACUGUUGUUGAAUUCGAAGUAAUUUCAGUACAAUUUGAUUCAGCAACAGCAAUAGUUGAAUUUCAAAAACAGGGUUGGAUAACAACAAAUUGCUAAGAAAAGAUGAAGCAGAUUUUGAUUUUUCUAUUUUGUUUUCGGAUGAAAUCGUUAAUGGGAAAAAACUGAAAUUUGAAUUUUGUAAACGUGAUGUUAAGAUAUAAUGGAAAUCACGUUUUUUAAGAGUGUUAAAUGGAAAAGGAAUCUAUAAAUUUAAUUGAUUGAUAAUUAUACCAUAAAUAGCUCAACUAAUUACAGUUAAUUAAGGGCAGCAAAUUUGUUGUAUAUGUAUUUUUACAGCAACAUUUUUUGAAAAUACAAAUUUUAAGUUGCUAUAAAAUAUAAUUAUAAAUUGUUACUACAAAAUUAAUAAUUAGGCUCUUAAGUAUGCUAUUUCUGAAUUUUACCCAUGGAAAAAUGGAUAGGAAAAUUAAAAGCCUAUUUGAAUCGGUUUAUUUUAGGUUUUUUAAAACUAAAAUAACUUUUAAGCAUUUUUUUAUUGUUUGGGUAAAAUUAAAAAGUAUUUUUAAGACAAAAUUAUAAAAUUAAGUCAAAAUUCAUUAUAUUCUUUUGACUUACAAAACAUAAGCAAAAAGAACUUAGACGUCCAAACGGGCUAUAAGUCAUGAGUUUGGUUUGUUUCAUGCAUAAACAUUGUCAAUGUCUGUCCAUGCAAGAUAGUUUGGUGAGUUUUCUUACCUUUAUUAAUUCAAUUGGAAAUAUAAUACGUUUUUCAUCCUAAUCUAUGUGAUUUGGGGAGAAAAGUCAAGCUCUCUGGAUAAAAUAACUAUUCCUAAAUAUUCUUUUAAUAUCAUUAUGUAAUGACAUUCUAAAAGAAUGAAUGAUUUGUGUCCAGAAUAAACUCGAAGAUCUAUUAGUUAGUUAAACGUAAUUCGUUUUGAAAUGUAGUAGUAAUAACUUUUGUUCUUAGCUUUUUGCUAUUUUUGGAAUAGCUUCUAUUAUUAGAAUUUAGAAACAAAAAGCAAUAUUACUAUAAGGUAAUUCCUGUGAUGUGGUAUUUAAUUAUCCCGGUUUUAGGUAAUUCCUCAACUAAAUAUAGGAAGAUUUAGUCCCAAAUUUUAUACCGGACUAACCCACUUAGUCCGUUCGACUGGCCCAUACGGGUUAUUCAAACUGCUAACUAUAUAUUUCUAUGGACUGCUCAGGUUGAAAAAAAGGCAAAAAUUCAAGUAUAGUCUCAUUAGAGUAUCCGUAACUAACUUCCUAGUUUAAAUUUCAUAUUUAUAAUUCAUAGACAAAAUAAAUGACAGUUUUAUGUACAUAUAUACAAAAAAGAAGGAAAAGUCCAUAACAACAAAAAGAGAUAAAAAAGAAAUUUUAAUGUAAUAAAUGUCUUUAAUCUUCUCCAACUUUUUAUUUAUUUCUCUGAUAUAACAAAUCAAUAAAUAUGAAUUUAUGCAUUAAUUACUCCCUCAAAAUUUGAUAAUUUUUUUUAAAAAAAAAAUUGUGAUCUACAGGAGAAAGUUGGUAAUUCAUGCAUACAAAAUUCUGGUAAAUACGAUUUACGCAAAUUAUUUUUUUACUUGAAUUUAUUUAUUGAAAUCCUUUUUUGAAUCUAAUACACAAUAAAAAUUGAUUCACUCAGUUUCAACUUAAUGAAAAUCGAUUUUAUUAUUGGUUUGAAUUAGAUUUCGAAAUUGAAUGCAUAAUAUAAACUUCAAACACUUUCAAAUUGUCAAUUUUGUAAUUACUAUUAUUUUUGCAUACAAUAACUUCAAUUGUAAUUUUGUGUUUUAAUUUUCGUAUUCAAUUUUUAUUUUCGUAAUUUUGAAUUUUUUUCAUAGAAGUUGUUAAAAGGUUAUAAUCCUUGUUUGUGUUAGUUUUUUUUUUUUCUUUUCUAAAUCCCAUUUGUAUUUGCAAUUUGUGUGAUAUAUUCAUUCAUUAUUCUAAUGCAUAUUUCAUAAUAUACAUAUUGACAGUCUUUUAAUAUUUUUUAUGUAUAUCUAUCAAUAGUAUAUUUGAAUUUCUGUAUAUCUGUCAACAUAAGUGUAUAAUUGUAUUUGUAUAUCUGUUUUAAAGGUUACAAAGAUUGUUUUUAUUAUUUGUAUAUCUAUUGUUUGUAUAUCUCUAUAUUAGUUUACAUAAAUUUGAUAUUUGUAUAUCUGUUGUUUGUAUAAUUAUAUAUACAUAUAUGCAAAUGAUGUAUAUAUAUAUUCAAAAUCAAAACUGCUGUUUAUUAUUUGUAUAUCUGUUGUUUGUAUAUCUGUUUAUAGAAAUUUGAAUGUUGUUUGUAAAUGAUAUUGCAAACGAAAUAUACAUAUGUUCAAAUCAAAAUUAUUAUUUAUUAUUUAUAUAUUUGUUGUUUGUAUCUCUGUAUAUACAAAUUUGAAUGUUGUUUGUAAAUGAAAUAUACAUGCAAACGAAAUAUACAUAUUUGUAUAUUUGUUGUUUGUAUAUCUGUAUAUACAUAUAUGCAAACGAAAUAAACAUAUACAUAGAUGUUUAUUAUUUUUAUAUCAGUUGUUUGUAUAUUUUUAUAUACAAAUUUGAAUGUUUUACAUAAUAACAAAUUACAAUGUAUAUACAUAUAUGCACUCUAAAACUGUAUAUAUCCGCAUAUGCAUUAUUCUUCAAAAUGUAUUAAUUGUAUAUACAUAUAUGUAAAUUGUAUAUACAUACAUCAAAAAUACAAACUAUAUAUACAUAUAUACACUCUAGCUCUGUAUAUAUAUGCAUGUAUUAUUCUACAAAAAAAAAGUAUACGUAUCUACAUAUAUUGAAACAAAAAUGUAUAUUGACCAACAAUUCUGUUUCAUGAGAAUAUAUACAAAAAAAACCUCGUAAUCAUUGUCAACUUCAUUGCUCCUCCUUUUAGAUUUAGAUAUCUUAAAAUAUUUUUUCUUUCCGUCUUGCUAGAAGAUGCAAAAUCCUUUCCCCUUUAUUUUUUUUUUGAUAAAUCACCCAUAAAAAAAAAUGGGAGAGUGACUUACAUAAUAUAUAAAAAUUUAUAUUAUAAAAUAAAAAUUCACAAAAAUGAAAAAAUUAUAAAAACGGGGGAGUGCUCCCCAUUUUUAUUUUUUUUGUAAAAUAAAUGAACAAUGAAGAAAUUUAAUGAUUAACUGACAUAAUAUAUAAAAAAUUUUAAAAAAUCAAAUCUAAUGUUAAUAAAUAUCCUAAACUGAUUUUCUGUGGUAAAAAAUCCGCAAAAACAAUUUAUCACAGAAAAAUUGAGGAUUAUAUUUUGUGAUAUUAGGGUGACUUUGAGAGAAAAAUAAGGAGGAAAAAAUUGAAGAAGAUCUCUUGAAUAAUCAUGUAUUAUGAUAUUGAAAAUGUUGUCGUUUCUUUAAUUUAAUAUCAAGGAUAUUAGAGUGAUUUUGAGAGAAAAUUAAGAAAAAAAUAAUUGAAGAAGAUAUCAUAAAAAAUCAUGUGUUUUGAUAUUCCAUUUUCGCCUUUUUUUGAGUCAAUAGGAUAGAGAGAGAAUAGAAAGAAAAUACCAAAAAUAAAUAUAUGAGAGAGAAAAUAGAUAUAUACAAAUUUUAAUAUAUUUGUAUAUAGGGCCCACAAAAAAAACUGGCUUUUAACUAUCAAAUGAUUAUGAAUUGUAAUUUUUUAAAACAUUAACCAUAUCAUGUAAUUAAUAUCGUAUUUUAUCUAUAAUAUGUAAAUUUUCCUUGAAAAAACUCAAUGGAAACUUAGUUUGAAACAAUAGAGGGUUUACAAAUAAAGGCGGAGGCAGAAUUUCAACUAGGAGGUUUAAUAUUUAAAAAAACCUAAUCGAAGGGUUUUUAAUACCUACAAUAGGCAUAUAAAAUAUAAUUUUAAUUGUGUAUAAAUGAUAUAUUUUUCCGUCGAAGCGGAAGUAUGGCUCCGCCCCUGGUUACAGAUUUUGAAAAAACUCAUGUCUAAACAAUCAAAUAAACAUAUUCUCGAAAGCUCCAUCCAAAUACUUGCAGCAAAACAAAAGUAAUAGGUGUUUUACUUUCAUUUGUCACAGAUAGAUACAACCUUGAUACAUAUAUCAUCGACUUAAGCAGAUGAUAUUAUGAGGGAUAAAAAACACAAGUCAGAAGCAUUUUAGUACCUUUUUAGUGGAGAAGCAUUAAUUACAAUUAUCUUUUUUGAUUUCUUAAAAUGGUUAUAUACGAAGAAAUUUUUUUUUUUUUUUUUUAAUAUCGAAAAAGUAAUAUUAUUUAUCUAAUUAAGUAUUAUGGAUGGUCUUUUCAUAUAAUUUGUCUAAGUAAAGGGCAAAAUAGGCCCAAUAGGUAGAUGAGAAGGGCAUUUUAGACCCAAUAGAUAGGUGAGAAGAGCAUUUUAGGUUUAAUAGGUAGACGAAAAGGGCAUUUUAGGCCCAAUAAGUAGACGAAGGACAUUUUUGCACCAUUUAACAUAGUUGAAGGGCAUUUUAGGCCCUUUUUCCGUUAUAACAAUAGAAAAUAUAGGACACUCAUAAAAUGUGUAUAUGUAUUAAUUUGGUUGUAUCCAUAUUUGUUCUCUCUUGUUUUACGAUUUCAUGCUUCGAUGAUACAACAGCAAUAUGCAAAAUAUGAAACGAUUAGCUCUAUGAAAUAAUUUUGUUUUAGAAUUAUAGAAAUGUCAUCGCCAAAAGAAAGACAAUCCUGAGAGGUUGUACAUUUUUAAUUUUUUUCUCAGCCUAGUCAUGCUGAUGAAAAGACUUUAUAGAUUGUUGGGAGCAGAAGGUUAAACUUUAUUUUUUGUGAACUAUAAAAUUAGUAUGCUUGUGCUUUCUUAUUCCAAAAUUGAAACUGGUUAUAUGAAAAAAUAAAUUUCUUUUUUGACAUACAGGUUCAUGUUUAAGUCAUCCAUUUUCAUGAUAGCUUUUAUUAGUAGUCUCUUGGGCCUUUAUGCCAAAAAGAUUUUUUAUUCAAAUUAUUUUGUCAAAUACCCACAAGUUUUAAAUCCUUUGCCAAAUACCCAUUUAAUUCCACCUCACCACCAACUUUUUCAACUUAACAAUUUCAGCCCCAACCUUUAUAAUAAUUCACUUUAACUCAAUAUUUCCAACUUAAUAAAUUCACCCACAAGUUUCUAAUAAUACACUUCAACCCACUCCAUCAUCCACCACUAUAUAUAUAAAAAUAAUAUCUAGGUUUCUGAAAAUAUUGAAAAAAAUUAUUCCAAAAGCUAAAAAUAGAAAGUGGUUAUUUUUUCCACCAAAAAGCUCCGAUUCCGGCCACUUUUCCAGCGUUAUUUUCCGACGAUCAGCUGUAAAUUAGUCCACAAACAUCAUAAGUUUGUCCAUUGCAUCCAUUGUUACCCCAUUUAUUUCCUUUCUUCUCAAACACACUUUCCACCAUUAUUAAAAAGCUUUAAACCACUCACAUUACUCAAAAUCACUUUAGAAAGUGCAUCACAGCAGCUCAGGCGACUCCAGGUUCAUUUCUUUAUUCCAUAAACCCAACAAUCAUUGAUUACAAGCAAUAUUUGCAAUUUCAAGUAUUUGUACGAAAAUCUGCGUAGUCAUCGACCGUGCAUACAACACGACAUAGACCAUAAGCAUAAUCUAACAUCGACCGAAGCUUAAUUCUAGGAUGUCUAUUGCAGAAUUUAUUCUGGUUUCUGGUGAUUUCAUGAGAGAAUGGGUGGAGACUUCGAAAUGUUGGAAAUGGAAAUCAUUUACCAAGGUGACAAUUCCCAUUCCUGUUCUCCGCAACAGUUCGUACGACGAAUUUGUUGCAAGCGUAAUGCAGAGCGGGGAUCUAGAUUACGCGCCGAGCGACAUGGUGAUUAGUUAUGUAAUGCAUUCGAGGGAAAAUGUGAAUCCUACGAUCAUAAAUAGCGAUGUACGUGUACUGACGUACAUAAUGGAUGCUGAUGCAGAUGGCUUUAGGCCAAUUUUGAGGAUAAAUGUGGUUGAGAGGUCCUUUGAAGGACCGCUAAUUCAUCAGCACCCCCACCGCAGCGGCUGACAGUCGACGAUGAUUUGAUCGACAACGAUUUGAAUAACUACGAGAAUGAUGUCGAUGAUACAAUUAAUAUGGAAGAUUAUUCUAUGCAUAUGGAAGACUUUUCAUCGGACUCGCAAGAUGAUGAAGAAAAUCGUGGAACGGAAUCACAAGCAGGACACUCCUUCACUGACGGAAUCAAUUUUUGUUGUGGUCAAACAUUCGCCGAUAAAAAAGAGCUGAAAAUGCAACUAGACGCAGCAGCGGCGAGGCAGCCUUUUGAUUAUUAUAUGAAGAAGAGCUGCACGAAAUUGAUGAAGACGCAAUACUUAUCUCGUGGUUGUGGUUGGAUGCUGAGGGCAAAAAAAUACGACACCUCGGACAGAUUUCGCAUAUACAAGUAUGUCGGGAUACACACGUGCGGCGUUGAAAACGCCACACGCAGGCACAAAAAAGUCUCAUCCGAAUUGAGAUUUUCUCAUGACUUUGUUCAAGCAAGUCGAAGAACAGAGGGAUCACUGUAAACUAUUGCUACAUAACACCCAAAUAGAGAGGGAUCAACUAAAACAAAAAUUAAUUUUGGUCGAAGAAAAAAAAAUGUCCUAAAAAUCAUGUUAUGUGCUAUAAUGCUAGUAUUCGUUCUUUGAAAAAGUGUAACAUGGAUGUAGUGAUAUUGAAUAAAUAAUAAUAGUUCUACUUUUGUAUAAUGUUAAAUACUAUUUUUGAUAGAACCAUAGUCGAUUAAACAACACGUCAACUUAAAUUCGACCAGCAGGAUAAUGAUAGACUAUGCAGUAUAUGGAAUAUUAAGUAUGCAUUCUAUGAUAUCAAGCAUACAAUGUACCAACUAUGACCACACCCUGCAUAUUCAAAUUCCAUGCCACAAAUGAGUUUGAUAGAAACAGAUUCAGCUCAGAAUCAUAAUAAGUUUCAUAAAAUAAAAGAAUAAUUGUCAUAUCCUACCACCAGAUCCUUCAUACUUCAUAUUUGUGAAAUAAAAAAAAAUUGUCAUAUCCUAACAACUCAUCAUUUAACAACAAAUUCAAUAUCUUAGCAUUUAAAUGUCUUUUUCCCUAAGUUCCUCAUCAACACAAGUGUUACUUGUCUUUUUUCCUAAGUUCCUCAUCAAUACAAGUGUUACUGUUGAUUUCAUCAACAAUAUCCAUGACCACAUCUGUUUGGACAACUUCAACUUCUUUUUUUUCAACAAUUGCAGCUGCUUCUUUAUUCUCACCUUCUUCUCCUUCUUUUUCAGCAUGUGCAUCAUCUGCUGCUUCUUCAGUUUCCUUUUCUUCCAUACCUUAUUUUCUUACUUCACCUGCAGCAGCUCUUUCUUCCUCAUCUUCAGCAGUUGUUUCUUCCUCAGCUUCUUCUUUUCAUUCACCGGCUGCUUCUUGCUCAACGUCUUCUUUGUCAGCUUUGCCAGCUUCUUCUUCAACAGUUUUUUCUUUUUCCGCGCCUCCUUGUUCAUCUGCUGCCUCUUCUUCUUCUACUACUGUUGCUGCUACUUUCCACCUUCUUCUUGACUCUUAUCUUCUUCACCAUCCUUCUUUUCUUCUUCUUUUUCCUCUUCUGCCACAGCAGUGGCCAACUCAUCCAUUUUGCUCUUUUUUUCUCCUUCUUCAUUCCUCUCUGAAUCAUGCACAUGCACUAUUUCAUAAUAUUACAAAGUGUUACUGAUAUUUAAAGCUGAAUAUUUAUUAACAACAUUAAUUAAUGAAUGAAGAUACCUCGCUCAUGUUGUCGCUCAUUAUUUUCCUUUUUCUUCAUUCUUUUCUCUUUGAUAGGCAGCAAUAUCAACCACCGCCUCCUCGAGCGAAGCCACACGCUUAUGAAAAUCCCCGGGGGAUGAGGUUCCCACUACAUCUUUAGAGGUGCUCGGAGAAUGAUCAUCACCAACGCGUACUCCAACAGGGUUACCACCCAAAUCCCCGUUAUCAUCACUGUCCUUAUUUGAAGCGAGGACAGUCACCCCUUCUAACUCUUUCUUCAAGCCAUCGAGGACGUUAUUCUUCACCUCGUCCGUAUAUGGCUCAAACAUAAUCAUGUAAUCCAUCUUCAUCUCACAAACAGUAGGAAUGAUGUACGGGUGCACGUUCUACCAAAAAUCAAGUAACAAUUACAUAACAUUCGAUAAAACGGUACUAUUAUUGCAUUAUAAAAAAUAAGUUCAUACCUCGGUAAUUGUUCCUUUAUACUUGAAUGGAUCGCCUUCGAUUAUCUUGUCGCUUUUUGAAGUGUGCCAUUUGAGGAUGCGGGGGAUGGGUAAGGGCUCAUCCAUUGAUUUUCCAGCAAAUUCUCCAAGAUGAGGAAAGACCUCAUAGAUCCAAAUCUGUCAGCAGUACAGCAGUGAAAAAAAUAACUAUGAGUCUAUGACAUAGUAUAAAUAAAAUGAUAAUCUACGAUAAACUCACUAAAGGGUUUAUGGUAGAUACCAUGAAUGCUCAGAGAAAUUCGAAUAGAGCAUAUGAUGCCUUCUACUUCUCAUCAAAUACUUCCUUCUGCUUCUUCAGGUCACUUUUCUUCUUCAGAUAGUCCAUGGUAAGUUGAAAUGUCUCUUUUCCCCACGGAUACUUCUCGAAGAAACUCAAAGAGUUGACCAUUCAAAUCAGUUUUGGGUCGACAACCUUCGUCGAAUCUUUCGCAAGCAACAUGGUGUGCAAGAACCACAGUAGACAACACUUGAACUUUUGGUCCUCUGUCAGCUUAUUCCCUUUGAUCAGGUGUAACAAGUUGGCCGCCGUGAUGUUUUUAUUUUUUGUCACCAUAAAACAAAAAUUGUCCCCCUUUGCUAACACCUUCUUCAUUUUUUAUUCAGUGGGGUAUGAUGAGCAGUUCAACCCCGUGAUCAAACAAAACUCUUUCAAGCCAAAAUAGGCAGGCUUGUUGUUAACGCAGAACCACAUCUCAUGACCCAUCUUAUCAUUCUUAACGCGUAGCAACAGCAAAUAAUUGACCAACUACCCAUUGAACUUGAGAUAUUCCGGCAGGUUUCUCAGGUGUCCAAAACAGGACCGCUUGAAUCUUUUCUUCAAUUCUUGGUCGACAAGAAUUUGCUUAAAUUCUCGAUAAGUAGCCAUUCUUGAUCUGACUGAUAUCUUUGCCGGAAAAGAUCCGAUCUCGUCAAUUAUCGUUCGAAGGUCAUACCGCUCCACGAAAAUGCAACUUAAAAGAUAUGGCACAGACAACGAAUCAUUAUCCCCAUCAUCACUAUUACUCCCACCUCCCUCGCACUCUUCACUGUCACCACUGACACUCCCUUGGCAACAUCUUCACUAGAAUCGACGUAGUCGCUUAUCUCCUUUAACUCCGAAUCUGAUUCGGACACCGACUCUUUAAUUUAUUUUUUUUGACACUUUUUCAACUGUCGCAGCUCUUCUUUUUCUACUACUACCAGCGGUAUCGUCUUUCUGUUUAGGAAUAAUAUUUUUUCUACCCAUUUUCAACACAAUCUACACCUACAGAACAAAUCUACCAUUUUCAGUUCAUAGACCACAAGUCUAUCAACAAAAAUAACUCAAUGAUCAAAUGAACCCCCUCCCCCGAAAAAAAAAUAACAAACACCCCACCAUUAAACAGUUCACUACACAAACACAUAAUAAUUGAACCAAAAUCGAACAUGCAAAAUAUCAAAACACAACAAUUGCUAAAAUUCAAACUAGUGCACCUAAUCAAACUAAUUAGCUAUUAAUAUUUUAAUUUUCACUAUUUCAGCAAUCAUGUUUUAAAAGAAUUUCAUAAGUCUGAAAAUUGAAAUAUAUCUAGGGCAUUCUCAUUUCAUAGACCACGGGUCUACAAAUAGACCGCGGAUCUACGGACAGAAACAAGACGUUGUUCAAAUCAAAAUGCCAAAAUAACUCUUCAAACAACAAUUAUACCACCAUUCAACACUUCGUUGCUAAAAAAAACACGAUUAAAUCAAAACAUCAAAUUCGAAAAAAUAAAUCCUACAUCACUACCAAUCGACUAGCAAAAAGAAAAACCAUUUAAAUGGAUCUAGAUAUGAUUGAAACUCGAUUUUAACUAACCUUGCGAAGCUACAACACUCCCUUAGCAGCUGCAGACAAAGAACGUACGAAAAUGACAUUUUUGGGAGAAAUUAUUUGAAAGCGGGAGUUGGAAAUUGAAGAGGAGAGAGAGGGUUUUUUUUUUUUAUAUUGGAAUAAGUGGAGGGGUUAGAUGUAUUAUAUUAAAUUUGUAAAGUUGUAUAAAUGAUGAAUUGGUCCCUUGACCCACGUGUGGGCCCCACUUUUUUCACUUUUUACACUUUAAACCUAAAAAAUAAAUCAAAAAAAAAUUAAAUGAACAUUUAGCAAAAUAGUUUUGCAAAAAUUCUUCUUUGCCAAUUAUUGCCUAGUCUCUUGAUCAUUGCCUUGAUAAAAUAAUGAUAUAGGCAUAGACAUGAGACUGCUUUCAGAAACUAAUGAUUUGUUAUUAUGAGUUUGGUUUGUUUUAUCUAGAGACAUCAUUAGUUGUUUAGAUUCUAAUAUUUUAAAAACUAAAAUAAUUAGUUUGAUUUUCUUAAAAAAAAUGACUAAAAUCACACUAUGAACACCUCUAAUUUGAAAUUAAAAAUUUUACUUGUGAAUUUAUUUUAAAACCUCGAAUUAAAUCAGUGUUAGUUAAAUUAUCAAUUCAUUUCAUUUAUAUUUCUUAAUUUGGCUAGAAAUCUGUGCAUGAUCGAGUCAAAGAUCUUAAAUGAAAAAAUAUGUACUUACAAAAACCAUAAAUAUUAUUUAAUCUUAUAAUUGUGAUUUCUAUAAAAGAAGCAUCAUUAAGAAUAAAAUGAAAAUAUUGAAAUUACUAAAUAUAAAAAUAAUUUCAAAAAGAUUAAUCCAAAAACCUGUUAACUUAAAAAUUAAAUCCCAUGAAUUAAAAGGUAGAAAUGAAAAAAGGAUAUAGGAGAUUGUAAUACACAAUGUAUAACGUUUUUUUGAAACUACAUCAACUAUCAGAGAUCUUUUCGAUUGUAUAGUAGAGUUGUUCUUAAUUUAAUUACCAAAGAGAUAAAAAUUCAAUCAAAUUUAAUAUAUCAAAGACUAUUCUUGGCUACAUUGUAGACCAAUACUUGACUUAAUUACCAAAAAAUAAGAUUUAAUCAAAUUUAAUAUAUCAGAGACCAUUCUUGACUAGAUAGUAGACAUUCUUGACUUAGCUGUCAUAAAGAUAAGUAUCUAAUUAAAUUUGAUAUUCUUAACUUAACUAUCAAAUAGACGAAGAUUUAAUCAAAUUUAAUAUAUGACAGCACAAAAAACGUGAAUUAUUUUAAUAUAAAUAUACUUGAAACUUCGCACUUGAAACACCACUACUCACUCUCUAUAAACUCAACAAAAAGUUCAGUUAUCUGAUCAAUCUGCAAUGGAGGUACAUUCCUGUGAUUUCUAAUAAUUUUUUUCUAAUUUAUUUAUAAAUUUUGAAUUUUAUAUAUUUAUUUUCAGAGCCAAUCAUCUAUGAUGAAACAAUCACAGAUUAAAAGUGCUGAAACCUCAAAGAUUAAUGAGGAUGAAUAUGGGCCACUUUCCGGAGAAAAACCUUAUUGUGAUAUGUUUCUUUCAAAGACUAGUGUCAAACCCCCCUACAAUUUGGUAAAUUUAUUUUUUUCCCUUUCCUUUCUAUAUUUAUUAGUCUGGGUAUCAAAUGUCAUGUAGAAAUUCUAGAAUUAAAAUUUUUUCACAGUUAUGAAGUGUGUGUAUAUGUAUAUAAUGAUUCAUGAAGUUUAUAUUAUGAAUUUCUUUAUAUGUUUGACAGUAUUUACCUAGGAAAAUGCAGAAGUGGCUUCCUUCAUCCGGAGCUCCUGUAGUCCUUACUUGUGGUAAAUACAAGUGGGAUGUGUUUUACGGUGGAGAAAAAUCUUAUCACAAAUUCAAUCGUACUGAGUGGAAAAAAUUCGUGACUGAUAAAAAUCUGAAGGAAGGAGAUGUAGUCGUGUUUGAACUUACAGAGUGCAGCGCUAACAAAAUUGAUUUAAGGGUUAUUGUUCUCAGGGAUGAUCUUCCAUAUGAAUUGAUUAUUAAAGAUGAAGAUAAGGAAGGUGCAAGAAGUGACAACCCAAUAAUACUUGGCUAAAAAUAGUCUUCUAAUUUUUAGAAGUUGUUGAUCAAUAAAUUUUAUUUUUUGCAAGAUUCAUCCGUAGUUCUAUAAAAUUUAUUUAAUGAGUUCUAUUUUUCUAUAAAAUGAUUUCUAUUGUAUUCACUUAUGUUAGUUGGGUCCAGUUACUGUUUAUUUUAAAAGAAUCGACUUUUUAUUUAUUUUGUGUAUGUUUUGUUUGGUGACUGUGGCUAUCUUUUCAUUGUAUCUUAAGUAAGUAUUAACUCCUCUAUAUCAUUUAAAGUUAAAGAAUAUUCGCGAUUAUCUUGAAAAUUAACAUGUCAAUAUAAACAAUAUGUAUUUUUUGUAUUUGAUAUCUUCAAGUUUUCCUUGUUAUAAAGUUAAACCUAGCUUCUUCACAAAAAUAUUAUUUUUAAAAAUUGUAGAAUUCAUAAAUUGAAUCGAAUGAAAUAAAAGUCAAGGAAAAUGAGAGAGAAAAAAUUAUUAGAGAUCGAAUAAGAAAGUAAAUUAAUUUUUUCUUGAAUAAAAACACAUUGAAUGUCAGAUUUGAUAUAUUUGAUUAUUCGAUCAGUAGCCCCACAUUCUUGAAUUAUAAAAUUUCUCCGCAAGUAUCACAUAAUUAUAUCUAAAUCCCCCAAAGUAUAUAUGAAGUGAAGACAUUCUUCAUAUGUUGUUAGCCAGCUCGCUCAAUCACAAAAAAAUAACCCCUUUUUAUCUUUCCAUGUUUUUCAUCUUUUUUAAUAUAAAAUGUUAAAAAUUAACUCCCUUCUUCUCCUCCUCCUCCUCCUUCUUCAAUAAAAAAAAAAUAUCAAGUUAAAUUUGAAUUUUAGUAAAGUUAAUUGUAUUUUUUUGACAUUUAAGUUUAAAUAUGACUAAAUUAAAAAGUGUGAAUAGCAUGAGUUGGACUAACAAUAUUCACCAGCAGUAUGUGACAAGAAAUUUUUCUGCCAAAUUGUUUGAGAUUUUAAGUGCUGCAAUUUUUAAUGUCCAUUUUAUCUGGUUUUUUCUUGUGCAUUAUUGUGCAUUUUUAAUAAUUACGGCCUAAAACGUCUAUUUUGUGUGAUUUAUUACCAGAAUCCUAAUGCAACGACAAAAUUUUAAAUUUGUGCCAAUUAAAAUGUUUUUUGGGACCACUAAACAAUUCAACCAGUGAAUUAAAAUAAAAAAUAUUUAUAAAAAAAAACAAUAAAAAUUAAAUCAAUGAAAAUUCGGGUGGAUUUUUCUGAUUCCAAUAUUUGAAAGACUAAAUUAAUUAGUUAGGUUUUCUUUUAGAAAAAUCAAUUGAAGUCGAACCAUGAAAACCUCUAAUUUGAAGUUAAAUUAAAGAUUUUACUUCAUAAGUUUUUUCGGCUUUGUAUUACCAGUGUUUUUAAAGGCGGAGGCGUAAGGCGAGGCGUUUUACCUGGUACAAGGCGAGGCGUAAGUCCCAAGGUGAUGAGGCGUAAGUUCCAUGGAUCCUUUAAUUUUUAAUAUUUUAUAAAUUAAUUAUUAGAAAUAAAUAUUUUAAAAAGAGGCAAAUCACCCAGAAAGGUAAAAUUAUAUCAAAAUUAUAAAAAGAAAUAAGUGGAAAUGCAUCUAAAACUAUUUCAGAAAAAAAAUAACCAAAGUCGCAUAAUACAACUAAUAUAUAAAGUCAUCUUCUCAUAUAAUAACCUAUUAUGUCCUAAAAAAAUAGAAGUUCGUAUAAAAAAUAGUACAUAGUUAAUCAACACCGCCUUCUCGUUACUCGAUUAGUAUACUAACACACCCAUUUUUCAUAAAUUGUAUUUUAAAGAAAGCAAAAAAGUAAAUAUCUUGAAAACUAGUCACUAUAUGACUUGCAAAAAUCUAAAAGAAAAGAAAGAAACUAGGAAGAUAAAAGUGUACCAAAUACCUUCUUGAGUAGUGGUACCAUCGACAUUCACCGGCAAAUACGUUUGAAAAUGUGAUUUUUAAGCUUUCUUUUACUUUUGAAUUGAGUAUUUAAGUAUUUAUCAAUCAUAUAUUUUAAUAUUAAGUUUAAAUUAGAUACUUAUUAAUAGGAAAUAUUUAUUUUAUUUUGUAAAGUUUUUUGGACUUGCGCCUCACACUUAGGCGAGCGCCCCAACGCUUAGACAAAUGCCUCAAAUUUUGGGACAUUCGCCUUUCGAUACUUUCGCCUUCGCAAAACGCCUUAGUGCGUUUUUUGCUACGCCUUGCCCCGAGGCUUCCCUCAGACUGCCUUUUAAAACACUGCUUUGUACUACUAACUCCUAUUUGGUAAUAAAAUUAGUUUAUUUACCCAAAAAAAAAAAAAUGAGAUAAAAAGAGUAAUAUUUAAUGAUUACCAACAAAUAACCUUUUGAGACGAUAAGACCUUCACAAGUAGAUAGUGAUGAAGAGUUUGUGUCCACUAAGGUAGAACCCAAUUCAUCUAUAGCAAGGGAUAAAACCCUAACUUAACAAAGACCAUCAAACAUUCGAGGAAAACUAAGGAGAUUAAAACCCUAUUUAGACCGGCUUAUUUUAGGUGCUUUUAACCACUUUCUUUUAUUGUUUGGGUAAAAUUUAAAAGUAUUUUUAAGACAAAAUAAUAAGAACAAUUCAAAAAUCAUUAUAUUCUUUUGGCUUAUAAAUCAUAAGCCAUGAACUCAUCCAACAUGUUUCAAGAGAGCAAAAAGAACUUGACGUCCAAACAGGCUAUAAAGUCACUAGUUUGGUUUGCUUCAUGCAUAAACAUCGUCAAUGUCUGUCCAUGAAAAAUGGUUUGGUGACUUCUUUCACCUUUAUUAAUUCAAUUGGAAACAUAAUACAUUUUUCAUCCUAAUCUAUGUGAUUUGGGAGAAAAAGUCGACUCUCUAGAAAAAAAUAACUAUUCCUAAAUAUUUUUUUUUUUAAUUUCAGUAUGUAAUGACAUUCUAAAAAAAUAAUUAAAUGAUUUGUGCCCAGAAUAAACUCGAAGAUCAAUUAGUCGGUUAAAACUGUUUUGAAAUGUAGUACUAAUAAAUUUUUGUUUCAUAGCUUUGUGUUAUUUUCGGAAUAGCUUUUAUUAUUAGAAUUUAGAAACAAAAACAAUAUUACUAUAAGGGGUCGUUUUGUUCAAAACUAGGUUACCCUGGGAUUAUAACCAGGAUAAAAUCCUAUGAUCGUAGAAUUUUUCCCGUGAUCAUGGAAUUUAUCACGGUUUUAGGUAAUACCUCUACCACGUAUACGAAGAUUUAGUCACCAGCAAAUGCUGCUUGAGAAAUCGAUUGAGUUUAGUCAUUCAUCAUAAUAUAUGUAAUUGUCUUGUUGCAUUAUUCUUAUAAACUUUAUCAAACGACUCCUUAGUGUUCUGUAAGGACAGGAGCCAUCUUGCAUGUACUUGCUUACCUUCUGACAACUUUGCUAAAUCCCUUAGGACAAUUGUGAAUUGACACAUUAGUGACCACUCUUGAAAUUGACACAUUAAAGUUAGCCGUCCCCUUAUUUUAUGAAUACUCAUCAUAUGCAGAAUUAGUAGUCUGUGUUGAGUUGCAAAUACAAAAAUUGCAACAGUGCCGGUUUGAUAGUUAUUCCGGAAAUUAUGAAUAACAACUUGGCGCAUUCUUUGAAUAAAAGAUAUUUUGUAGAACGUUUAGAAGCUCUCUAUACAUUUGGAGCUUUCCUAAAAAGACCAUUCAAGUUUCUGAAGGGAACCUCUCCCCAUUUUCAGCUAAGUUCUUAAAGCUUUAAGUUAAAUCAGAACAAUGUUUUUGCUAUAAGAUUUCAAGAAUAAUGUGAAUGCCAUACUGUGGGCAUAAGGAAAAAAAACUGAAUGAUAGGAAAAGAUCAAACCAAAAGCAUAUCUUUGGUUAAAAAAACACUUAAGAAGCUGCGAUGAGUUUAAAACCUCAAAUAUGAAUUAUGAUUUAUUCUAGAAGACAAAAACAUCACAAUUAUCCAAAUUCCAUCUGAAUGCCUGGAACAAAACAAAAUUAUAUUGUACCUGAAUGUCAGGUUUCUUAUUUGGCACAUAGACAUAUAAUCUUGAUACAGAUAUCACAUACAAAAGACACAAGCCGUCUUGCAAAGAAAUAAAUAAGGCAUUCUAGUAUUUCUUGAUGGAAAACGUAUACAAUAUGGAGUGGACGUAGGACUUUCCAGGAGUCACAAUUGUCGAUGGGAAAUUUGGGUGAUUCACAGCAUCCGGGAACCCUUGAGUCUCUAAACACAAGGCUGAAUGAGGUUGAUACACAUAUCCACCUUUUCCCUUCGUAUUAAUGACGAAGUUUGCAGUGUAGAAUUGCACACCAGGUGCAGUCGCUUUUAUGUCCAUCACCCUUCCUGACUUCUUAUCAUAAACUAUUGCCACAGGCUUCAUUUUUUCAGUGCUGUCGAGUGCAUAGUUGAUGUCAUAUCCAUUUUGGAUUUCACCGAUCCUGCUCCCCACCUUACUGGGUUUCAAGAAGUCAUAGGGCGUGUUCUUGACAGGUGAAAUUGCACCUGUGGGAAUAUGUUGUUUAUCUAACGGCGUGAUGUGUGAUCCAAAGAUUUGAACAACCUGGGACAAGACAUCGCCACUGUUGUGACCACCAAUAUUCCAGUAAGGGUGGUGAGACAGGUUAAUUGGAGUGGCCUUGUUCAAAGCCUUUGCCUUAAAUACUACGCUAAGUUUGUAAUGAUCUUUCAAUGCAUAGGUAACAGAAACAAGAACAUCACCCGGAAAACCUACAUAAGAAAGCAAUUGAGUGUAUUUCAAUUCAUAGCGACUUUCAAAAACUAAAUUUAUUGUCUUGUGUAGAAAUGAAGAAUAUGUUACAUUUAUCAAGAUUCACCUUCUUCACCAUCAGCACUGUGGUAGGUUAGAGUUAUGUAAGGACUGGGACCAUCUUGCACGUACUUGCUUACCUUCCAAACAACUUUGCUGAAUCCUUUAAGACCACCUAUAUUAUAGAUGUUUCAAUAACAUCGGAGACAGACAUAGGAAAUUUGGGUAAAAUUGGAAGAGGAAACAAAAAAAAAAAAAAAGAAAUGUAGUGAGUGUACCAUGUAGCAUGUUUACUCCUUCAUUCGCAACAAGGUUAUAAUGGGUUCCAUUCAAAGUAAAUUGAGCACCACCAAUCCGGUUAGCAACCCUUCCAAGGGCGGCUCCGAAAUAGCUUGUACCAUUCUGCACCAAAUUACUUUCGUAAGUGAUCAGGAAUGGUGCCAAAUUUCCUUCAAUGUACUUCACAUUAAUGCAAAAUAUGAGAGAUUUAGCUGAGAUAUUGUAGGCUAGGGACACGAUCUAUAUUAGGAAAGAACUACAAUUAGACAGCGUCAAAUGACUGUGGAUUUUGAUAUGGCACAUUUCAAGGCAGGGGCGGCUAAAGAAAUCUCCAUAAGAGGCUUUAGACUUAUUUAGACAUCGAUGAGACAAAGGACUUGCUUUCUAAGCUACGUAUCACUCAAAUAGUGAUAUGACUGUAUGCAAAAUUCAUGUAAUGAAAUAGAAGGCGAUCAGAAAGGGAAAGAAUAGAUCCCUCCCUUUCUCUUUUUUCUUAAAUAGAGUAUGAAGUAAAAAGCUUUUAGGAAAGAGCAGAUUGGAAAUAGAUGCAUCCAAAUACAAUGAUCAAAUUAAAGUGAACUAACCUUGUAUUCUUUGAUGGUAUCAUAUCCAAGAACAACAUCACCUAUUUUUCCUGAAAGGAUCAGACAAGAUCAAACUGGUUACUUCAAGAAAACAGAUUUAGAACAUGAAUAGGUUUUCUGAAAGAUGGAAUCUUCUUGUUGACCAACCGGCACCCUACUGUCCCACUAAUACAGAUUCUCCAUCCCCAGGACUCAAACCUGACCAUACAACAGACUCAUUUGGUGGUGCAAAUAUGGGAUUGAUUAAGGUAAAAAAAACAGACUUACCAUUCUUAUCAGGAAGAAGAACAGAAAUGAUUGUGGCACCAUAAUUAGUGACCUUAACGGAGAAAUCUCCUUUCUUGAUCUCAUAAAUUCCUAUCUUGCGCCCUGUUACACUACUGGCAGCCAACAAAUGAAGGAUGAAGAACAAGCAAAUCAACAGACUAAACUUGGAAGACAUUGUCAACUCAAGUGGUUUAAGAGUAUCUUAGUUACAGCUUAUUCAGCCUUGAAUAUAUACACUCCUCCAAUUCAUCUGGCAUUAUUAUGGGAUUAGAUUAUUAUCUGCAUGUGAACAAAAGGGAACUUGCCUGGCAAAUAAUCUGCCUAGAAAUGUGAUAAAUCCAUAGAAGAUCUAAAGAUAUGAGCGUCCAGCCUUGAGAUUGACAAAGUCAACUGUCUAAGUUAGCCGCCUCACAUUUGUUUAGAGUAUAGUUAAUUGUACAGGUAGCUGUCUGUGUUGACUUGUGAAUACAAAAUUGGUACCCACGCUGGCCUGAUUCUUAUUCUGGUACUAAUCGAAACUUGUCCCAUUAUUUAGCAUACAUGAUCCACCAUAUAUUGACGUCUAGUUUCAAAUGGUAUCCUUCAAGUCAUUGCCAAGCUGAAUCAGGUUCUGGAAGUAGAUUCUGAACCUGUCCAGGAUAAACUCGAAGAUUAGUCAGUUGUGCUUGUACCUUUCUAAUUCAUUCAUUUUGGAAGGUAAGUAAUAGCAUUGUGACUGCGCUAUUUCAUUCUUCGUUAAUAUGGUUUUAAUAGAUUUUAUUAACUGGACUCAUUAAUUGUACUGUUCAAUAAUAAUGUUUAAGAAUGGCACAAUACAUAAACAUGCCCUUUAUGGACUCAGAUCAACCUCCAUCUUUGGGUGUGCACAAGUAGGCAUUUAAACUUGUAUAAAGUUGGGCAAGUAGACACAUAUGUUCUAUGUGACGUCCUACAUGGCCAAUUCUUGUCCUGCAUGGCGUCCUCUGUGUUUAUAAUACAUCGGACGUGUGUGUCUACUUAUCCAACUUUAUACAAGUUUAAGUGUAUACUUGUGCACACACAAAGUUAGAGAUCAUAAAUGUGAUCUGAGGCCAAAUUAAAAGGCAUGUUUAUGUAUUAUGCCUUUAAGAAUAGGAUGGAAUUAAUAUCAAAAGCACAUCUUUGGUUAAAAAACUUAUACAAAAGUGCGUACUAUUAUAAUCAAGGAGUAAUUAACGAGACUUCAAAUCUCAUCGCAGACAAUUAACUUGUUACAGAGUUACAAAGUUUGAUUCCAGAAAAACAAAUAGAAAACAAAACUAUCCUUUAUUGAGUUUAAAUGUCGGGUGUUAAAUUAGUCACAAAGAACAUAAAACCUUGACAGAAAUGUCAAUUCAUGUAGAAGAUAUAAAAGACACAAGCCAUGGUGAAACAAAUAAACAUAAACACUCCCACUAUUUUUUGAUGGAGAACGUAUACAACACUGAGUGCACGUAUCUCUCUCCUGGAUUCACAAUUGACGAGGGGAAAUUUGGGUGAUUCACAGCGUCAGGGAACACUAGAGUUUCCAAAGACAAUGCCGCAUGAGGCUGAUACAUGAAUCCACCUUUCCCUUUCAUACUUCUAUCCCAAUUUGAAGUGUAGAAUUGGACACCAGGUGCAGAUGCCUUUACAUCCAUCACUCUUCCAGACUUCUUAUCAUAAACUAUCCCCACAGGUUUCAUUUUUGCAGUGCUGUCAAGCGCAUAGUUGAUGUCAUAUCCAUUUUGGAGUUUGUUGAUCCUGCUCCCCACUUUAUGGGGUUUCAGGAAAUCAUAGGGUGUGUUCUUGACGGGAGCAAUUUUCCCUGUGGGAAUGAGUUCUUUAUCAACUAGGGUGAUGUGAGAUCCAAAGAUUUGAAGAACGUUGGACAAGAUAUCGCCGCUGUCAUGUCCACCAAUGUUCCAGUAAGGGUGGUGAGAUAGGUUAAUUGGAGUGGCCUUGUUCAGAGCUUUUGCCUUAAAUACCACACUAAGUUUGUAAGGAUCUUUCAACGCAAAGGUAACAGAGGCAAGAACAGCACCAGGAAAUCCUACAUAAGAAAGCAAUGGAGUUUAUUCAAUUCAUUAGCGUUCUUCAAAAAGAAAUUACUCCCUCCAUUCUAUUUUACUGUGAUGCGAUUUCCUCAUUAGUUCGUUCAGAAAAGAAUGAACGAUUUCUAUGUAUGGAAAUAAUUUAACUUAGAUUUUCCGUUUUAUCUUUAAUGACAUGCUUUUAUAGCCACGAAUCUCUUGACAUGUUUAAAUACCACGAGUUCCAAAUGUCUUGAAUUUCGUGUUUAAUCAAACUACGGCACGUAAAUUGAAAUGAAGAAUGUAAUUUAUAUCCUAUAUGGAACAGCAAGACUUUACCUUCUUCACCGUCAGCACUGAAGUAGGUUAGAGUUAUGCAAGGACGGGGACCAUCUUGCACGAACUUUUUCACCUUCCAGACAACUUUGCUAAAUCCUUUAAGGCCACCUAUAUUUUCGAAGUUUUAUUACAUCAGAAACAGAACGGAAAUUUGGUAUGGAGUCAAAAGUGUAAGAGAAACCAGAGGUAAAAGGAAAUGUAGUGAGAGUACCAUGCAACAUGUUUUUGCCUUCAUUGGGAACAAGCUUAUAAUGGGUUCCAUUAAGAGUAAAUUGCGCACCACCAAUCCGGUUAGCAACCCUUCCAAGACUGGCUCCAAAAUAACUUGUACCAUUCUGCACCAAGUAACUUCAAUAGGUGAAAACAAAUAGCGCUAAAUUUUCUUCAAUGUACUUCACAUCAAUCCAAAAGAUGGAAGUUUCAUCUGAUAUUAUAGUCUAGGAACGCGGUGCUUGUGAGGCAAAAAUUACAAUUAGACAGUGAAAUGACUGGAUUUUGACAUGGUACAAUUCAAGCAGGGGCGGCUAAAGAAUUUGGUGACUUAAAACUAAAUCUCUAUAAGAGGCUUUGAACUUCAUUUCAUGAAAUUCACACAUCUAAGAAACAAAGGAUUUACUUUCUAAGCUAUAUAUAACUCAAACGAGACCAAGAGAAAAGCUGAUAUAGUAAACAAAUUGUGGCAAAAGAAAUGAAAUGUACACAAAAGAGGACAAAUCAUGAUCCAAAUUGGUGGUAAAUGUACUAAUCUAUGAGAAUAAAAUUACUGUAGUUUAGCCACUCAUCUGUAUCACCUCAACUAAAUCCCAAAAAUUAGAAAAUUAACAUCAAAUUGGAAAUUUCUAUUAAUGAUAGCUAUAACACUAUAUAUAGCCUACUAAUUUUUCGGUGCCUAAAGCAAAGGCUUUAAUUGUAUUUUGUCCUUGAGCCAGCCAUGAUUCAAGGAACCGAUGCUAUUGACUUAUGAGACCCAGAGCCACAAUGAAAUGUUGUAGUAACAACAAAGAAAGUUCUUAGAGAAGGGCAAAUUGGAAUAGGCACAUUCAAAUACAAAUGAACAAAUUUAAAGUGAACGAACCAUGUAUUCCUCGAUGGUGUCAUAUCCCAAAACGACAUCACCUACUUUACCUGGAAAGGGGCAAGACAAAAUAAGACUUACACAAUACCGAUUGAGGAUAAGAUUUUUCAUAUGAUCACUCAACUAAUAGUCAUUAUUUUAGUAAGUCAUCAGAAAACGAAUAGUACUUGUAACUGUUAAUUGAGUGACCAUCUGAAAAAUCAACUCUACAAAUUUACCGUCAAGAAGGUAAAAAAGACAGAAUGUGUACAUACCAUUCUUAUCAGGAACAAGAACGGAGAUGAUUGUGGCACCAUAAUUGGUGAUCUUAAUAGAGAAAUCUCCUUUCUUUAACUCAUAGAUUCCUAUCUUGUUGCCUGUAACACUAGCAGCAACCAAUAGAGGAAAAAUGAAGAGCAAACAGAUGAACAAAUUAUUAAUCAUUGAAGACAUAGUCAAUUCCUCUGUUUUGUAGACUUGUUAAGAGUGUCUUAAUGACAGCCUUGAAUUUAUAGUACACCUCCAUUCAUUUGGCAUUAUUAUAUUUGUGGGAUUUGAUUAUUACAAGCAUGUGAACAAUAAGACAACUUGUCUGUCAAAUAAUCUGCCGGGGAAUAGGAUAGCUCCGGUUAAAAUAGACAAUAAUGAGUGUGAACUCCCGAAUUUGAUUAGUCAGAGUCUGAAACUGACUAGUGAGUUGACGAUAAAAUUAGAAAUAAAUAAAUAAAAAGAUGAUUUUAUUAUAUUAGCUAUAUUAAUUUUAAGUUAUUUUAACUAUUACAAAAAAAAUAAUAUAAUUUAUAACAAAAAUAAAAAUAUUCAUAAUGAGUGUAAAGUCUUGAAAUAGACAGAUUCCAAUUAUUUUAUGUUUAUUUGGUACAAAAAGACGGGUUUCCCGUUAUCUUAUGUAGUAGUCGCCCUCCCCACGUUAACUCCUUUCUUUACGCGAAUCGUUUUUUAUUUGGUUAAAAAUAAUAAUGAAAUUUUAGUCAUUUUUAAAUUAUAAAUUUUGUCCAGAAAAUGAAAUAUAUUAUUGAAACAGAUGAUCAUUACAUUUAAAUAAAUUAUAAUAAAAAUUAUACGGUUGAAAUUUCAUUAUUAUUCUUAUAAGAUUUUUUAUUUCACUAAAUAUAAAGAAGCUCUAAUACAAAUUGGGUAUUAUUCCACCUAAUUUUUGCUAGGUGGCUGUGAUAACUUGUAAAUACAAAAAUGGCACCCACGUUGGCGGGAUCUUAUUCUGGAAAUACUUCCAUUAUAUUAUUUGGCAUAAAAGAUACACAUUUUUACUUGACACUUUGAAAUUUUUAUUUAAUAUCUAUUACUAGGAUUUACCUUAUGAAAUUCUCAUUAUUAAUUAUACUUUAAAAAUUUAAAUUUAACUACUAAUACUUUAUGUAGUUACUUAACAAUAAUGAUAAUAUUGAUAAAAGUAAAUUUUUGUUUGUUAAAAAUGAAGAAAUAAAAAAAUAGUUUGUUAUAACAUACAAGUAAAAAGGAACCGAGAGAGCAGGGGUGACUCAAACAAAUACGUGGCCUAAGGUCAAAAUCUAACGGAAGCCUUAAAUUUUUAAGAAAAAUUAAUUGUUUUUACAAAGUCUACUUUUAAAAUUAUAUAAUCGAUUUCUUCUAAUAAUUUUGUUUUAUUAAUAAUAUAGUCAAUGCAUUAAAUUUUGCUUGAGACAUAGUUCUCUAGACCAGAUAUAACAAACUCCUUCUAAAUUUCAUUUGUAUAAAAAAAUUAUUUUUUCUACAAAUAGUAUUUAAUAUAUUUUUUAAAAUUUGUAACCUAUUAUUUCCAAAAAAUUAAAAUAAUGCCGGCCUAAGGGGGCUGCCUUUCUUCCCAAGAGAGUGAUUAAAUUCAAACCACAUGUGUUUGCCAUUUGUAGAAUUAUACAUGUUAAAUCAUGUGUAUUUCAUAAUCAGUGUUUUCUGGGUCAGAGGAAAUUAAAGUAUAAACAUCUCCAUCUUUUGCUUUAAGAAGUAAGAACCUUCAUGACAUUAUUGGUUUCAGAUGGACUGACAUUAUUUAAGACGUUUCAUAAACAUCUCAAUUAUUUCGUGUUGUAUGACUGUCACGAUUCAAACAGAGGCGUUAGCAGUAACGGACAUUCCAAAUUAAUAAGGUUCGAGAUGAUCUCACUAUUCGAGUUGAGGUCCUAGCUGUGACGGACAUUCCAAAUCAGUAAAGGUCUGAGAUGACCCUUAUAUUACAUCCUAAGUAUAAUCAUAAAUAAAGUGCGGAAUUUGAUCCAUAAUUAUGAAGAAGUCCAACUUAAAUGACAAUUCAAACUCAAGUCUUUAAAUAAGAAAUAAAAAUAUUUGUCCUACUCAAUGUACGAAGCCUCCAACAUUAUAAAUAGAAAUCCUAAUUCAGGACAUGACUCCAAAAAUAUCAUAAAACAAGAUAGUCCAAGUUUAACUAAAAGAGAAGAUAUGUCUUCCGAAAGAUGGAUGGUUCAUCACUUGCUAGCUGUUGUGCUAAAUGAAUCGUAAUGUUGGGCAGAAUCAAAGAAUAUAGCGUUCGGGGACAGUCAGGACGAUAAGCACUGACAUGCAAUUCAAAGAAGUGGGGACUCAAGCAGUUUAUAAAACAAUUUAUAAAACUCAUAUCAUAAGCUCUUAAUAAAAAUAAUGAGAAGCAAGUGACUUAAAGCAUAAAAGAGACAUAAUCUCUUGAAACAUUUAAUUCUGGAUUAUGCAGGUUGUACCGACAUUAAGUAACUCACGGACUAUAUGGGUCUAGUUCAUACCCAACUGACGGAGCCUCAAUCCAUGUUAGCCGCAUGGACUAAGGAAUUCAUCAUUAGGUCAUUAUAUCAUAAACAUAACUGCAUACCUCUGCGCAAAGUAAGCAUAUUUCGAUUGUCCAUUUUUCAGGACAAAACUUCUCACGUCAGCAAACAUGAUUUCAAGCAUUGGUCACAAGGAUUACACUUUGGUGAAACUACACGAACCUCUUUGAGCCCAAUCAAAAUAUUUUUCAUAACCUUUAUUCAUAGUGUUUUAUUAACGCAUUCAUAUUUUUUGUAUCAUCGUACCAAGACUUUCAAGUCAUUCAUAUCAUGGCAAAAUCAUUAUAAUCAAACAUUAUUGACUCUUAACCCCAUCAUUCAAAAUCAUAAACAUAAUCGUAUUAAAUUUCCAUAAGAAUCUUAAAACAUGUCAUAAAGUUCAAUACAUUCAUCAGUUCAAAGAACGGGGUGACAUACUCAUGCAUUAUUGUAAUAUUCAAAACAAUUUUUAAAGACUUAAUGAUGAUAAUUUCAUCACUUAACCUUUCGAAUUCAUAUAUACAAGCACACCUUUUUCAAAUAGUCGUUUCCAGUAUCAAAACACUCUAAUAGUGAUUAGAAGACAAUUUAUAUAUAACAUGAGGAAAUCAGUAUUAAACUUAUCGUAAAUGUAAUUCUCAACCCUAGUUCCAAACCGUCAAUAUAAUAUACAUAAAUACUAUUUAAAUUAACACUUUGUAAUAGUAGGUGAUGUAGGGAGUGUUUAACAUGCCUUAUCGAUAGCCCCUUGCGCUGGCUUAUGUGAUGCAGGGGGCCAAAGCACGGCCUUCCCCCAUGCGACGCACAGUCCCAUUUUAUGUCCAAAACUCCCCCAAAGUUCCCGAACUCAUCCCACAAUGUUUUCUACUCAUUCUAAGGGUCAUUUCUAAGACAAAACGAGACUUAAUUAUAUAUAUAAGAUUCCUGAGUAUGGCUGGAAUAGGAUAGUUUGUCCUUAUUGUCUCAUUGGCUUGCUUAUGUGGUUGCUGGACAUUUGGAUGUAGUUUUCCAUUCUGCUUAUAUAUUAUAUAUAUCUGCAUUAUCUUUGGAGCUAUAUAUAUAUUGAGCAGUUGCAUUUCAUGUUCGUCGUGGAUCUAAGAAAGUGGUAAGUGUAUACUUAGAACGAUGAGGCCAUAACGGGAGGACUCAUUCAGGUUUCAAAAAAUGCAAUCAAUUCUCUAGUAUAGUUAUGCAAGUUUUGUAGAGUGACAAAAGGUGUGUUAGUUGUCUCAUUAGUGAUAUUGUGAAUAAGUAUGUCAAUCUUUGAAUGUUGAAGUUUUAUUUCUCAUAAAACAUAUAACCUUGAUACAAAAAUCAAUUCAAGUAGACGAUAUUAUUAUGAGGAUACAAGCAAACUCUUCUAUUAUUUCUUGAUGGAGAAAGCAUACAACACCGAGUGCGAGUAAGUCUUUCCUGGAUUCACAAUUGUGGACGGGAAAUUUGGGUGAUUCACAGCGUCAGGAUAGCCUUGAGUCUCCAAAGACAAUGCUGAACGAGGCUGAUACACAUAUCCACCUUUCCCUUUUACAUUAACGAUCCAGUUUGCAGUGUAGAAAUGCACACAAGGUGCAGUUGCAUGUAUAUCCAUCACUCUUCCUGAUUUCUUGUCGUAAACUACUGCCACUGGUUUCAUUUUUUUAUUGCUGUCGAGCACAUAGUUUCUGUCAUAUCCAAUUUUGAUUUUAUCGAUCCUGCUCCCCACCUUAAGAGGUUUAAGGAAGUCGUAAGGCGUGUUCUUGACAGGGGCGAUUUCGCCUGUGGGAAUGAGCUGUUCAUCAACUGGGGUAAUGUGUGAUGCAUAGAUUUGAACAACCUGGGAUAACACGUUGCCACUGUUGUGACCACCGAGGUUCCAGUAAGGGUGGUGAGACAAGCUAAUCGGAGUGGCCUUGUUCAAUGCUUUUGCUUUAAAUUCGACACUAAGUUUGUAAGGAUCUUUCAAUGCAAAGGUAACAGAGACAAGAACAUCACCAGGAAAGCCUACACAUAAGAAAGCAAUCAAUGGACGCGAUUCAUUAAUCAGUAGACUUCUUCAAAAUGACACUAAGACUACCUUCUUCGCCAUCAGCACUGUGGUAGGUUAGAGUUAAGUGAGGACAAGGACCAUCUUUGACAUACUCACUCACCUUCCAAACAACAAAGCUAAAUCCUUUAGGACCACCUGUAUUUUGAAGUUUUACUAGAUAAGAGAAGGAAAUUUGGGAAAAACUGUAAGAGAAAGCAUAGUUAAAAGGAAUACCAUGAAUUGUGUUAUUGCCUUCAUUCGGGACAAGCUUAUAAACAGUUCCAUUCAAAGUAAAUUGAGCACCACCAAUCCGGUUAACAACCCUUCCAAGUAGGGCUCCGAAAUAACGUGUUUCAUUCUGCACAAAUCACUUCCAUAUUAAUUAGUUUAUCGUAACACAGUAUACUUUGUGCAUCGGGCUGCCCUUAUUAGUCUAUGCAUAGCAAGAUUUGAGUAUCUGAUUCAGAGAGUAGCCUAAGAGCAAAAUCAUCUAUUAAAUACAAUGAAGAGAGUGAACUAACCACGUAUUCCUUGAUGGUGUCAUAUCCAAGAACAACAUCAUUUAUUUUUCCUACAAAUCAACAUACAUAAGACUGAUUUCUACAAGAACUCCCAAAUCAAGAAAAUUAAAACAAAAACAUAGGUAAAAAAAAAGACAAGACAUACCAUUCUUAUCAGGUAGAAAAACAGAAAUGAUUCUGGCACCAUAAUUGGUAAUCUUAACAGAGAAAUCUCCUUUCUUUAACUCAUAUAUCCCUAUAUCGCAGCCUGAAACUCUACCAGCAGCCAACAGAUGAAGAAUGAAAAAACAGAUCAACAGACUAAUAACCUUUGAAGACAUGAUCAAAUCAGCUCCUCUUGUUUUGAGACUUCAGUGUGUGUUGGUUUUUUCUAAGAUGGUGCAACAAAGAGGUCGAAAGUAUUGACUGAAAUUGUCUCCCUGUAGUUUUAUUAAGUGGAACUUUAAAAACAUAAUCUGCAUUACAAGAAUUCAACAAAUUAGAUUAGUCCUAAAACUAAGUAACUUAUUAUGGUAAAACAAUUACUGCAGAAAAGCAAAUUUUCAGUGCUUUAUUGUGACAGUUUCUUCAGGCUUUUAAUUAUUUGCUCCUCCAAUUCAUUUGGCAAGUGGCAAUAUUAUUGGUAUUAGAUUAUUAUCUCCAUGUGAGAGGAAAGUAAAAAACUUGUCUGUCAAAUAAUGGGCGCGAAAACGGGAUAACGCCAUUAAAAAUUGAUAAUGGUUUGAGUGUGGCAGUAUUAAUUAAGACUGCGAGAAUCAAGUUACCCAUUUCUAUAUUUUAUGUAUUGUCACGUAAAGUACUCCUUAUUACUUGUCUAUAUUAUUAAAAGUGACGUUCCAAAUAACUUUUUAAUUUAUAAAAUUAAGAUAAAAUUAAUUCAAUUUUCUUGUUUUGCCCUUAAAUUAUUUUUUAAAAAAGCAUAAAUGCUGUAAAGUUUUUCGAUUGUUAAUCUUGGUAAUAAUGGAUAAGGCGAGCUUAUUGAAAAGGGUAAAAGGAUAAACUAACAAAAGUACUCUUUUUAUUUAUUACUAUUUCUUAAUGCAAUAAAGAGAAAGGUGGACAAAUAGUAGUUGUAAAACAAAAAUAAAAUGGCACCCACUUUGGCGUGAUUCUUAUUCUAGAAAUAAUUAAAAACUUGGGAGAAACUUUUGGCUUAAAAAUAACAAAGUAUAUAUAAAAGUCAACUACAUGAUCCGCCAUUUCCUGAAUUCAACUUUUUAAAUACCCCUAAAUUUGGCCUUCCUGUUUUGGCCCUUCAGCCUCAUGAAAAUGUGUUAAUUUCACACAGUAGAGUUAAUUUUUAUGGAGAAGUGUGAUCAGAACACUCAAUGGAGACGAUUAACUAAAACAAGUUUUGAUUUGUUCCAUAAAGGAAAAAUACGUAUACACACACAAAACUAUCCACUUGAAAAACAGUGAGCCAAAGUGUCGGGUGUUUUAUUUGUCAAAAACAAGCAAUGGUGGAAAACCCUAAUAAGAAUUCCAGUAUUUCAUGAUUGAGAAUGUAUACAACAAUUUGUGAACGUAGACCUUCCCUGGAGUCACAAUUGUUGAAGGAAAAUUAGGGUGAUUCACAGCGUCGGGGAACCCUUGAGUCUCAAAACACAAUGCUGCAUGAGGCUGAUACACAUAUCCACCUUUCCCCUUCUGAAUAAGGGAGUUUGCAGUGUAGAAUUGGACACCAGGUGCAGACGCUUCUACUUCCAUAACUCUUCCUGACUUUUCAUCAUGAACUAUUGCCACGUGCUUCAUUUUUUCAGCGCUGUCGAGUGCAUAGUUGAUGUCAUAUCCACUUUGGAGUUCCUUGAUCUGGCUCCCCACUCUACGGGGUUUAAGGAAAUCAUACGGCGUGUUCUCGACAGGAGAAAUUUCGCCUGUAGGAAUGAGGUACUUAUCUACUGGAGUGACGUGUGAUGCAAAGAUUUGAACAACGUUGGACAAGAUAUCGCCACUGUUGUGUCCACCGAGGUUCCAAUAACUGUGCUGAGCCAAGUUAACUGGAGUGGCCUUGUUUAGAGCUUUUGCCGUCAUUAACACACUAAGCUUGUAAGGGUCUUUCAGUGCAUAGGUAACCGAGACAAGAAGAUCACCCGGAAAUCCUACAAAAGUAAACAGUGGAUUUUACUCGAUUCAUAUUGUAUCUUCAAAAGGAAAUCAAUCACUGUAAUUGUCUUCUGAAAUAACUAGACAGAUUUACCUUCUUCACCAUCAGCACUGUGGUAGGUUAAAGUAAUGUGAGGAUAGGAACCCUCUUGGUUGUACUUGCUAACAUUCCAAACAACACGGCUAAAUCCUUUAGCACCACCUAUAUUUUUGAAGUUCUAUGAGUAAGGAAAGUUGGGUGUAUGGAGCUGAAAGAGGAAGAGAAAGCAAAAGUAGAAGAAAAUUGUACUGAGGAUACCAUGAAGUGUGUUUGGGCCAUCAUUGGCGACAAGCUUAUAAACGGUUCCAUUUAAAGUAAAUUGAGCACCUCCAAUACGGUUAGCAACCCUUCCAAGUAGUGCUCCGAAAGAAGUUGUAUCAUUCUGCACAAAAUUACUUUCAUAUCGUAUGUGUACGAAGAUUUUUACACAUCAAAUGACUCAUUCCCUAGAAAACUUGAACUUAAAUAGGACAUUAUUAAGUUCAAAUUCUUUCUGAUUCCAAAUGUUGAUCUGAUACCAGUGUGAAAUAAUCUAAAACCUGAAUUUGCAUAGUGGCGACCAGCGCAGAUAAGCAUACAUUUUAGUCUGCAGUGCCCUAAAACGAUGUAGAAACAGAAUCAUAAUUCUGACUAUUACAGUGAUUUUGAAUUUGUUUCAUUGGAAAUUUCAUUUAAAUCAGGCCCAAGUUUUGGUUCAAGAAAAGAAACUGGGGGGAGUUUUUACAAUUUCCUAAAUUUGAUGUUCAAACUAAGGAGAGUUUAUUAAAUCCAGAGACAAGUAGAAUGUAUAACUCCAAAGAGGCAGAGAACUUUUGGCCAAUCCAAAAUUCCUUCAGUAUACUUCACAUUAGUUCAGAAGAUGGAAUGUUUUUAAGUUCGAUAUUAUAGGAUAGAGACGCGGUUUUUGUUAGGAAAGAGCUACAAUUAGACUGUGUCAUAAAAAAAAACUAUGAAAUCACGCAAUUGAUUUGGUUCAUAAUUGGCUAUGAAUUUUAACAUGGCAAAAUUGCUAUCGACCCACAGAGAAGCACAGUGGCAAAUCAUAGAAAGGAGAAGGUGAACUAAAAGGUUAGAGCAAAUUCAGAUAGAUCAUUAAAAUAAAACAAAGUGAACUAACCUGGUAUUCCUCUAUGGUGUCAUAUCCAAGAACAACAUCACCUACUUCUCCUGCAAAGGAUUAGCAAGAGACUAUAAGACUAAUUUCUUCAAACAAAACAGAAGAAAACAGUUCACAUAUACACAUCAAGAAAGUUUGAAACAAGAUCCGAUUGGAACAUGUUUUCAAAAAAAUGAACUUUAUGUGAACCCCCCCUAAAAUUUCUACAAAUACUAAACUUUGUACCCAUAGUUUCAAAUGUAGACUAUAAAAAUAGAAACCAUCAAAUUAAAAUCCUGAAUCCGCCUCAGAAUUGAUAAUAUGAAAGACAGACAUACCAUGCUUAUCAGGAAGAAAAACAGAGAUGAUUCUGGCACCAUAAUUGGUGACUUUUACAGAGAAAUCUCCUUUCUUGAUCUCAUAUACCCCUAUAUCUUGCUCUGUAACACUGAUGACAGCCCACAAAUGAAGAAUGAAUAAACAGAACGACAAAUUAAUGUUUGAAGGCAUAGUCAACUCUAAUGAUUUUUGAGACUGAGAGUAUCUGAUUGACAGCUUAUUGUUCAGCCUACAGCAUGUGCACCCCACCAAUAUCCUUGGCCUUAUUAUUUAUUGAUAGUAUUAUCAUUAUUGGAGAAUCGUACUAACAUUUAUCCUUGGCUUUAUUGAAAUAGUUUAUUAACUGCAGUUUGCAUGUGCACAAAUCAGAAUUUGUCAGCUGCGUGGAUAUUUACUCACGCAAAAAUCAAUAAUGAUGAAUGUGCGGUCUUUAAGUUGACAGAUAAUAAGUUAGCAAAGGCAGAUUCAGGAUUUGAAGUCUUUGUCAAGUUUCAAAUUAAUAUAUACUAGAUAAUAACUUGUUCACAUUUAAAUAUUUGAAGUCUCUUGUCACAGUUUCAAAUUAAUACAUAGAUAAUAACUUGUUCACAUUUAAAUAUUUAUAAAUAUUUUGUUACCUAUUGGAUUUGAGCAGAAACUACAGAUUCCAUGUACCUGCAUGUAAUACGCUGGAUCCGCCCCAGAAGUUAAGUCAUUCCAAUUAUUUAAGGCCAAAUACACAAUUGGUCCCUUAAAAUUAACAUCAAUUUCUAUUUUGACAACAGGGCUAAAAAUGACAGUGAUGGGUUGUACACAUCUGAUUUUUUCAGAUUUCUUUACAGAACGUAGUAAAAUUAACAUUAUGAUUGUAAAAUACAGUAAAGGAUGUAUUUGUACAGUGUGUGCCUUUAUGAACUGUUUCAAUUUGGAAUAUCCUAAAGGCUUUUUGUUUCUAAACUGUGCUAUUUCAUUCUAUUUUAACUAGAUUCACUAAUGUGUUACUGUGCAAUAUAUAUAAUGUUUAGAAUAGGAGGACAAGAUCAAUCCCAAAAGCAUUUCUUUGGCAUACACACUUGUGAAACUGCUAAAAAUAUAUAUGGAAUAAUGUGAUAAGGGGAGCUUUAGAAUAACUAAUAAAAUUAUCGUCAUAUGACUAGGAGGUCACUGGUUCAAGCCAUGGGAAUGCCUUCUAGCAGAAAUAUAGGAUAAGGUUCCCGACCCGCACGUAGAGGGAACAUGAAUGCACCGCACUGCCCUUUUAUGUGAUUAGAGAAGUCAAUGGAAACAAUUAACAUGAAACAAUAGAGGUACAAACUUUGAUUUGUUCCAAGAAAAGAAACAAAAUUUUCACCAGCAAACACUCACCAAACAUGUUUGUAAACAUUUCUUAUAUAACUCCAGCCAAACACAACUGCAUUGAAAUCAGAAUGACAGUGGUUUUAUUUAUAAUCUUUACAGAAAAUCAAUUUUGCACAAUAGAUAUUUUAGUAUUUCUUAACUGAGAACGUAAACAGCAUUUCGUGAAAAUAGGAUUUGUUCGGAGUCACAAUUGUUGAUGGGAAAUUUGGAUGAUUCACAGCAUCGGGGAACCCUUGAGUCUCCAAACACAAGGCUGAAUAAGGCUGAUAGACAUAUCCACCUUUGCCCUUCUUUACAAGGCUGUUUGAAGUGUAAAAUUGGACACCAGGUGCAGUUGCUUGUAAAUUCAUCGCUCUUCCAGACUUUUUAUCAUGAACUAUUGCCACCGGCUUCAUUUUUUUAGUGCUUUCUAGUCGAUAGUUGAUGUUAUAUCCAUUUUGGAGUUUGUUGAACUGGCUCCCAACUUCACGUGGUUUUAGGAAAUCAUAUGGUGUGUUCUUGACAGGGACGAUUUGUCCUGUUGGAAUGAAAUGUUCAUCUAAUGGAGUGAUGUGUGAUGCAAAGAUCUGAAUCUCGUUGGACAAAACAUGGCCACUGUUGUGUCCACCAAGGUUCCAAUAAGUGUGUUGAGCCAAGUUAACCGGAGUGGCCUUGUUCAAUGCUUUUGCCUUCAUUGUCACAAUAAGCUUGUAACGAUCCUUCAAUGCGUAGGUAACAGAGACAAGAAGAUCACCAGGAAAGCCUACAUGAGAAAACAAUGGAUUUUGUUCAAUUCAAAAUGUUCUUCAGAAGGAAACGUAUUACUAUAAUUGUCUUGUGGAAUAACCAAGAAGAUAUAUUCACCUUGUUCACCAUCAGGACUGUGGUAAGUUAAAGUAAUACGAGGAUUGGCACCACCUUUAGUGUACUUGCUCACCUUCCAGACGAUAUGGUCAAAUCCUUUAGGGCCACCUACAUUUUUCAAGUUUUUACAUAAGAGGCGAAAUUGGAAGAGAAACUGAAGGUAAAAGGGAAUGCAGUGAGGAUACCAUGCAGUGUGUUGUUGCCAUCAUUGGCGAUAAGCUUAUAAUGGGUUCCAUACAGAGUAAAUCGAGCACCACUGAUCCGGUUAGCAACUCUUCCAACUAUAGCCCCAAAAGCAUUCGUAUCAUUCUGCAGAAAGUAUUUCAUAUGUGUUCAUGCCCAUAAAGAUUUGUAAAGCAUCAAUAAGCUGAUUCCAUAUUAGCUAGUAUAAGGCUCAAAUGAUGAAAGAGGCAUAAGGAAUGCAUCAUUGAUAUCCCUUCAACUUUUUUUGAAUGAUGGUCCACCCCCAUUGUGAAAGUGCCAGCCAGCUCGGCUAAGUAUACUUUUUAGUGCACUAAAAUGACAUUGGGACAACAAAAUCAUAUCUGUUUUAUGAUUGUUGAAUUUGUUUUACUGAAACAUCUUGUAUAUUAGGCCCAAGUUUUAAUUUCAGAAAAGAAACAAUAGGAGUUUUUACAAUUUACCUAAAUCUAAUGUUCAAACUACACAGCGUCCAUUCAAUCCAGAGACAAUUACCAUCAUCCAUCUCCACAUUUCUAACAUUUGUCCUAGAACAUGAGGAUUCAGGUUACAUAUUAUAGGACAAUACGCGGUCCUUUUGGGAAAGAGCUACAGACAGACAGCAUCAAGCAAACAAAUGUUACUCUAUCUGAACUGUUUAUCUCUGCUCUUUCUCUAUUUGUGUUUUUUUCCUUAAUGAUGAAUAGUAAGAAAUUUUAGAAAAGAAACAAAUGCAAAUAGAACAAAGUGGACUAACCAUGUAUUCCUGAAUGGUGUCAUAUCCAAGAACAAUAUCACCUAUGUUUCCUGGAAAGGAGCAAGACAAGAUAACACAUCAAAAAGGUUGAAAUAAUAAAAGUAGAACUUAUCAAACUUAAAUCAUGCAUUGGCCUCCGAAUAUUGAUAACGCAAAAGAAGAGACAUUACCAUGCUUAUCAGGAAGAAGAACAGAGAUGACUCUGGCACCAUAAUUUGUGACUUUAACAAAGAAAUCUCCUCUCUUGAUCUCAUAUAUUCCUAUCUCUUGUGCUGUAACAUUAGCAGCAGCCCAUAGAUGGAGAAUGAAGAACAAACAGAUCAACAGAUUAAUCUUGGAAGACAUGUCAGUAAAUUCUAGUGUGUCUUGAUAACAGUUCCUUCAGCACUGAAUAAGAUAUGGUUGUAGGGAAAUUAUUUAUUUAUUUCGAAAUAAUUUAUAUUAUGCGUGUUUAAGAAGCCAAUCAUGAGACGUAUUUUAAAAAACAAAUAUUAUUUCUUGGAGCAAAGAACAAGAAAAGCCAUAUGUCUUGUGAUGGCUUCUUGCAUGAAGUGAAUUGGCCAAGUCGCAACUUUGUUAGCCAAGUGUCCUUAACACUUGUCCUACGGAGAAGUUUUUCUUUGUUAGCCAGGUGAAACCCCAUGAAGUGAAGUCGCAACUUUGUUAGCCAAGUGUCCUUAACACUUGUCCUACGGAGAAAUGUUUCUUUGUUAGCCAGGUGUAAACCCUAUGAAGUGAAGUCGCCAAUUCGCAACUUUGUUAGCCAAGUGUCCUCAACACUUGUCCUAUGGAGAAGUUUUUCUUUGUUAGCCAGGUGUAAACCCCAUGAAGUGAAGUCGCCAAGUCGCAACUUUGUUAGCCAAGUGUCCUCAACACUUGUCCUAUGGAGGAGUGUUUCUUUGUUAGCCAGGUGUAAACCCCAUGAAGUGAAGUCACCAAGUCGCAAUUUUGUUAGCCAAGUGUCCUUAACACUUGUCCUAUGGAGAAGUUUUUCUUUGUUAGCCAGGUGUAAACCCCAGAAGACUUUAACCCGUCCCAGACGCUGUGAAUAGCAAAAAAGUUUCUACCCGCCCCCAUAUAAAGCCAAACCUGCACCACCCCCACAUACAGCAAAAUCCACUCGCCCCAUUGACAUCCCUAAAUCAAAAAGAACACAAGUGACUAUGAAAUAACCUAAAGCCAAAAAUGACUGACAGAUGAUGACAAAGGAAGCGAGGUGUGCUCUUAGCACUUCGAAACUUCCUAUUGUUAUGUGUAAUUUUAACUCUGCUUCUUGUCUUCUUUACUAAUCAUAAGGAGUAAUGAGAUUAGAGAACUCAAUGAGAACCAUCAACCUGAAACAGUAAAGGUACAACCUUUGAUUUGUCUUAAGAAAAGAAACAAAAUUUUCACUCCAAAAACAGGAAACACUCGACAAACAUGUUAGUAAACAUUUCUCAGAAACUCCAGCCAAGCACAACUGUAUUGAAAUCAGAAUGCCAGGGGUUUUAUUUAUAACCUUGACUGAAACAUCAAUUAUGCAAAAGAAACAAAAGACAUUUUAGUAUUUCUCAACUGAGAACGUAAACAGCAUUUUGUGAAAGUAGGAUUUUUCCGGAGUCACAAUUGUUGAUGGGAAAUUUGGGUGAUUCACAGCAUCGGGAAACCCUUGAGUCUCCAAACACAAGGCUGAAUAAGGCUGAUAGACAAAUCCACCUUUGCCCUUCUUUACAAGGGUGUUUGAAGUGUACAAUUGAACAGCAGGUGAAGUUGCUUGUAAAUUCAUCAAUCUUCCCGACUUUUUAUCGUGAACUAUUGCCACCGGCUUCAUUUUUUUAGUGCUGUCUAGUGGAUAGUUGAUGUCAUAUCCAUUUUUCAGUUUGUUGAACUGGCUCCCAACUUUACGGGGUUUAAGGAAAUCAUAGGGUGUGUUCUUGACAGGGACAAUUUGUCCUGUUGGAAUGAAAUGAUCAUCUAAUGGGGUGAUGUGUGAUGCAAAGAUUUGAAUAUCGUUGGACAAAAUAUCGCCACUGUUGUGUCCACCAAGGUUCCAAUAAGUAUGUUGAGCCAAGUUAACUGGAGUGGCCUUGUUUAGAGCUUUUGCCUUCAUUACCACAAUAAGCUUGUAAGGAUCCUUCAAUGCAUAGGUAACAGAGGCAAGAACAUCACCAGGAAAUCCUACAUGCGAAAAGAAUGGAUUUGUUUUUCAAUUCAGAAUGUUCUUCAAAAGGAAGUGAAUUAUUGUAAUUGUCUUGUGGAAGAACCAAGCAGAUAUAUUCACCUUGUUCACCAUCAGGACUGUGGUAGGUUAAAGUAAUACGAGGAUCGGAACCGUCUUUCUUGUACUUGCUCACCUUCCAAACUACAUGGCUAAAUCCUUUAGGGCCACCUACAAUUUUCAAGUUUCCACAUUAGACGGGAAAUUGGAAGAGAACCCAAUGUUAAAAGGAAAUGUAGUGAGGAUACCAUGCAGAGUGUUUUCGCCAUCAUUGGCAAUAAGCUUAUAAAGGGUUCCAUUCAGAGUAAAUCGAGCACCACCAAUCCGGUUAGCAACUCUUCCAACUAUAGCUCCAAAAGAACUUGUAUCAUUCUGCACAAAAGUUUUUCAUAUUUGUUUAUGCCCAUGAAGAUGAUAGAAAAUAUCAAGAGGCUGAUUCCAUAUUCUCAUCCAAUAAUUCUGGCACUGGUGAGUUAAGCGAAUACAAAGACACAAAUAAGGCAUCAGGAAAUGAGAACUAAUAAUUUGUAACAACAAGGCUCAAAUGAUAAAAAAAGGCAUAAUUAUGUUCAAUGAUGGUCCACCCCCAUUGUGAAAGUGCCAGCCAACUUGGCUAAGCAUACUUUUUAGUGUGCAGUGCACUAAACUGAGAUAGGGACAGCAGAAUCAUACUUUGAUUGUUGAAUUUGUUUUACUGGGAACUUGUUGCAUAUCAGGCACAAGUUUUUAUUUCAGAAAAGAAACAAGAGCAGUUUUUACAAUUUACCUUAAUCUAAUGUUCAAACUACAGAAAUCCAGAGACAAUUACAACCAUCCAUAUCCACAUUUCUAACAUUAGUCCAAAAACAUGAGGAUUCAGGUUACAUAUUAUAGGCCAAGACCGGUCCUUUUGGGAAAGAGCUACAAUUAGACGACAGCGUGAAACGAACAACUCAUGUUAAUCCCACAAACGAUUUGUGUCAAACAAAGAACUGUUACUCUAUCUAAACUUUUGUGUCAAACAAAGAACUGUUACUCUAUCGGGACUGUUUAUCUUUGCUCUUUCUCUAUUCGUGUCUUUUUCACUAAUGAUGAACAAUAAGAAAUUUUGUGAAAAUAAAUAAAUUCAAAUAGAAAAAAGUCGACUAACCACGUAUUCCUGAAUGGUGUCAUAUCCAAGAACAACAUCACCUAUGUUUCCUGGAAAGGAACAAAACAAGAUAACAGAUCAAGAAGGUUGAAACAAAGAUCAGAUAGGAAAGUUCAGUACCAAGAACCAUAAGAAUAGAACUUAUAGAACUUAAAUCUUGGAUUGGCCUCUGAGUAUUGAUUAUGCAAAAGACAGACAUUACCAUGCUUAUCAGGAAGAAGAACAGAAAUGACUCUGGCACCAUAAUUAGUGACCUUAACAGAAAAAUCUCCUUUCUUGAUCUCAUAUAUUCCUAUCUUUUGUGCUGUAACAUUAGCAGCAGCCCAUAGAUGGAGAAUGAAGAACAAACAGAUCAACAGAUUAAUCUUGGAAGACAUUGUCAGUCAACUCCAGUGAGCCUUGAUAACAGUUUUUUCAGCACUGAAUAAGAUAUGGAAUCAUUUGGUUUUAUUAUAGAAAAGUCUGUUAGAUGCAUGUGCACAAAAGUGGACUUUGUCAGCUGACAAUGAUGUGUGUAGUCUUGGAUUUACGGAGAAGCAAGUUGUUUAUGUACUGUUUAAUGAAAAAGUAGCCGUUUGUAUUGACUUGUAAAUAAAUAAAAUGGAAUCCAAGUUGAAAUACUAAAAGAUAGUAUUAUAAUCAUGAUUCUCCAUUUCUAGGAUUCUAUUUUUUAAAAGUAUAUAUGACAUUAUAUCAUCAAGUCACUUGACAGAUAAAUAUAAGAUAGGUAAACCAUUACAUCAUAUUAAAUUCAGUGAUGGUCAGCAAGUCAUAAUCUUCAACUUCACAAUCAGUAGGAAAUCUGUCUUGGUGGUCUAUGGAAAUUAGUUGAAAUAAUUAAUUGGAUAAAGUAUGUUUUAAAGUACCAUGAUUGCUAAGAUAAGAAAGCAACAAUACAGAGGCGGAGCCAGGAUUUCAACGAAGGGGGUUUCAUAUUCAAAGAAAACAUAAACUUAGUCGAAGAGGGUUCAACACCUACUAUAACAACAUAAAAAAUAAUUUUAAUCAUGUAUAAAUAGUAUAUUUUUCCGUCGAAGGGAGUUUGGCCGAACCUCCGAAUAGAAGGCUGGCUCCGCCCCCGGCAACAAACGCUUUCUCUAAAGAGAAACACUUUGAACAAAUAUGAGUUCAAAGAUAAGGAUGGCAAACGUGCGGGGCAUGUUAUUGCGGAGCAAACUCGUGUAAACCCCGCAACCACCACCCACAUACGUCAAAACCCACUCGCCCCAUUGACAUCCCUAAAUCAAGUAGAACACAAGUGACUGUAUGAAAUUACCAAAAGCCUAAAACGACUGUCUGUUGAUGACAAUGGAAGCUAGGUGUGUACUAUUAGCACUUCGCAACUUCAUAUUGUUAUGUGUAAUUUUAACUCAGCUUCUUGUCUUCUUCACUAUUCUAUGGAGUAGUGUGAUUAGAGAACUCAAUGGGAAACUAUUAACCUGAAACGUUAGAGGUACAAACUUUGAUUUGUUUUAAGAAAAGAAACAAAAUCUUCACGCCAAAAAUAGCAAACACUCAACAAACAUGUUUGUAAACAGCUCUCAGAAAACUCCAGCGAAGCACCACUGAAUUGAAAUCAGAAUGGCAAGUAUUUUAUUUUAUAACCUUGAAAGAAAUAUAAAUUUAUAAAAAAUAUACAGAAGACUCGAGUGAUGGCGGAGAAAACUAAUACUAUAAGCAUUUUGGUAUUACUCGAUUGAGAAUGCAUACAGCAUUUUGUGAAAGUAGGGAUUUUCCGGAGUCACAAUUGUUGAAGGGAAAUUUGGGUGAUUCACAGCAUCGGGGAACCCUUGAGUCUCCAAACACAAGGCUGCAGAAGGCUGAUAGACAAAUCCACCUUUCCCCUUCUUCUUAAGGUUGCUUGCGGUGUACAAUUGGACAGCAGGUGCAGUCGCUUGUAAAUUCAUCACUCUCCCUGACUUUUUAUCAUGAACUAUUGCCACGGGCUUCAUUUCUUCAGUGCUGUCAAGUGCAAAGUUGAUGUCAUAUCCACCUUGGAGUUCCAUGAUCUGGCUCCCCACUGCACGGGAUGUAAGGAAAUCAUAGGGCGUGUUCUUGACAGGGACGAUUUCUCCAGUUGGAAGCAAACUUUGAUCUAAUGGGGUGAUGUGUGAUGCAAAGAUUUGAAUAUCGUUGGACAAAAUAUCGCCACUGGUGUGUCCACCGAGGUUCCAAUAAGUAUGUUGAGCCAAGUUAACUGGAGUGGCCUUGUUUAGAG